AAAAAGAAAAAAAAAAGGUAAACCCUCUAAGAAAUGUAAUAUUCCAUCCUCAAAGUUUAGAAACAAAGCUCAUGAGGAUAGGUUUAAGAAGAUAGAAAAUGCUCUAAUUACAUGUGGUAAAUUUAUUGACUGAGACAGUUUUGAUGAAACCCUCGAAAUUCAAGCAGGUCUAUCGAAUUAUUUUGAGGAAAUGAAUGGAUAUUUUUCAUCAAAUGGUUCAAGAAGAACAAGCAGAGAAAGAGGCAGCAAAGGCUAAAGCUCAGAAGCAAGCAUCUGUCAAAACAUCCCCUAAGUUAAUGCACACCACAGGGCAAACUGACCAACCUGGUAAAGACAAAGGAAAAGCUGCAGCACUAACACAAGAGCAACCUAAACCACCAGGUAAAGGAAUGAAGACCAUGGCCAUAAAAACGAAAUUCCUCAAGAGAAGAAAGUCCUCUAGGAUAGCAACAAAAGCCAAACCCUCAGACAUUUCCUCUACAUAAGAUCCACUACAAAUUUCAGACCAAUGCUCCCCUGAAGCCUCACUCAAAAGACCAUCACCUGAACCCCUUAUUGUCUACUUUGGCACUGAUGAGUCUACCCCUUCUGCUUAUUCAGAAAUUGAUUGAACACAUCUCAAUUUGAUAAUGAAAAAAAAAGGAGAAUUAUGAUAAAAAGUUUAGGAUAAAUAAAAGGUAGAAAUGAUCUAGGGGCAAUUUAGGAACUCUAACUAUGAUGAUUAACCUAUUUUUGUCUGCUGGUAAUUAAACAUUUGAAUUUAACUCUGCUGUUUAUGUUAUUGUGUUGAAAAUUGUAAGCUAAUGGUUAAACAUCUAAAUCUGUUCUUGAUAUUUAUGAUAUUUUGACUGUUGUUGUUUAAAGAUUGGGUGCUGAUAUUGGGCUGUUAUGUUGAUAACUAAUUUUUGAUAUUGUGAAUGGAAUGUCUUUGAGACUGAAUAUGAAUACUGAUAUUUUUGUUGGAUGGUUUAUGGCACUUAUGAUUGGAAUAGAUAAGGUCUGAUAACAAUAUACUAAUGAUAGAUAGUUAACUGUAAUAUUGAUAAUAUUCUGUCAUCUUGUCACCUAUUGUUGAUCAUUCUAUAAGCCUGCAUAAAUAUAUUUUGUCAAAUGUUUGAAUCUAUACAUGUCAUUGUCUGUAUGACAUAAAUAAAAACUUGUUGAAAUGAAUAAUAAAAUAUGCAUACAUUAAGGGAGAGCACACACUCAGUGGGAGAAAACCUUUAUUUUCUGCAAAACAAAGAGGAACGAAUAGACACUAUGCUAUUAAUCAAGGAAUGUUUUGUCAUCAUCAAAAAAUGGAGAGAUUGUUGGCUCCAUUAGUUUUUUAUAAUAAUAAAACAUUCCCACUUAUUUGUGUCUAAUAUUUCUACUUGAGUAUGCAGAACAAAAAUUGUAUGCCAAUAAUAAAUUAAUCUUGCAAAGGACAUAUCAAAAAUCAUAAGAACAAGGAGUCACAACUGAUCAACAAAAUAGAAGCCUCUUAGUUAAAUAAUGAAGGGUGUUAGUUAGCUAAAAUUCAAAUUAGAAGUUGGCAGGCUCAAGAGGAUUGAAAGAGAUAAAACACUUAGUCGACCAAGAUACGUGGUUAGUCAACUAAAAGCGUACUGCCAAAAAUUCAGAUUGCAAGACAGAUACCACUUAAUCGACUAAGAAGUGUGUUAGUCGACUAAGAGCUUACUACCAAAAAAUGGGAUCAGAAGACAGAGACGACUUAGUUGACUAAAAGCGCAGUUAGUCGACUAAGAUCAUUCUGUCAGAAAAUUUGAAUUGAGUACUAGAAAACAUAUUAACGACCAAAACUGCGACCAAACUAUUUUCAACGAUCAAAAACUGCCUAACACCUAUCAGAGCUGAUUUUUCAAUUAUUUAAGGGACUUUCAACAACUAGAAAACACAUAAAAGGCUUCCAAGAAUUAAAAGAGCUCAAAAUACCAGCAAAAACUCACUCUUUGCAUUCUAUCUGCACUUCACUCUUAUCCUUGUAAAAGAUUCAAGCACUUCACUUUGUACCACUCAGAUCAAGUCAGUGAUCAUAGGUACACCUUUAUUCCUUUUCUCCUUGUAUACUUAGAGUGUGCGAGACACUCUAAGAGAAUUUAUUCAAGCUUGGAUUGCUUGAUUGGGUGUAUAGGUUAUAAUUUAGCAUGAAAAAGUUACUUUGGGUUUUGGUUGAUCCCGGAAAAAACCAUUGUAAAAGGUUGUGGCUGAGCCUACUAAAAGCCAUUAUAAAGCUUUGUGGGAGCUUGGGAAUUCCACCGUUUUUAGUGAUUUGAUUUCGAAAAUCCUUGGUUGAACAAUCAAGGUAGUGGAUGUAGGCCAUUGACCAAAUCACUUUAAAUUCUGGUAUAUUGUCUACUCUGUUUUUGUUUUUAUUUUCAUUCCUUCUUAAAUUAUUGCCUCAUCUUGCUUUAAACUUCUCGUUGUUGAUCCUCAAUUCGCUCGAAAAUAGAAGUUAAUUUAGUGAGGUCAAAAAGUGUUAUGCACCCCCCUCUAGCACAUUUACUUGGGACCAACAAUUGCAUUACUAGUACAUAAGCAUUACGUGACUAGUUUGUAAAAAGCAUAAGAUUUUUCAUCUUUCAUGAUUUUUCAUUUCUCUUAAACUAGCGAUUGUUUCUCUCCCAAAUCCUCUCAACUCAACCUCAUCUUUCAUGAUUUUUCAUCCAAUUAAAGUGAUUUUCCCCUCCUUUUCAACCUUUUACCUUUAACAUUUCAUCAAACCCCAAACCUAAAAUUUGUACAAAUUUCUUGUUCACGGUUCCCAAACUCUCAAUUCUUUCUCUUUUUGAUUCUCACCCUUUCGUUGCGAUUUAUAGCAAAGUAGUCUAAUUAAAUCCUUCUAAUCUAUAAUCUUAACCUUUUCCCUAUAAUCCAUAAUCUUAACCUUUCCUCCGAAUCUUUCGUUCCAAAUCCCUCACAUUUCGUAAAACCCUACCAUAAGUCAAAGGGCCAAACGAACCAAUGUAACCGUUCACUGGGCUUUCAGUGGCUCUGUGGGAGCCGAGUCUUCCUCCUCCCCUGAUGAGAGUUCUUUCCUUUGCAACUUCACUCAUCCGUCGUGUGCCUAGAAAUUCAAUGACAACUUCGCCGAAUGAAAGGUAAUGCCUAGGCGCAUUAUUAACUUUGAUUACCUAAAAUCCAUUCAUUUUUCGUAUCUUGCCAAUUUUGAGAAUUCAGGCUAGACUUAUUACUUGAAAUUGAAUCAGAAGUAUUAUGAGAAUUUAGUUAGGAUCUUUUAUUUCAAAGGGCCAAACAAACCAAUGUAACCACUCAUUGGGCUUCCGGUGGCUCUGUUGGAGCCGAGUUUUCCUCUUCCCCUAAUGGAAGCUCUUUCCUUUGCAACUUCACUCAUCCGUCACAUGCCUAGAAAUUUAAAGACAACUUCACCAAAUGAAAGGUAAGGCUCGGGUGCAUUAUUGCCUUUAAUUACCUGGAUUCCUUUCAUUUUUUGCAUCUUGCCAAUUUUGAGAAUUUAAGCUGGACGUAUUACUUGAAAUUGAAUCAGAAAUAUUAUGAGAACUUGGUUAGGAUCUUUUAUUUCAAUGCCACUUAAAAGUUUCCUGAUUCGAAGUCCGGUGAAUUGGUUUCCCAUGAUUAUAGGUUUGUCACUCAAGUCAUGGGCAAACGCAUUCUUGUCAUUCACACACUUAUUGAUCACAUCCUUCGAAUUAACACCCGUUUAGAUGAUCUUAGAUAUGUUCUUGAUGAUGUCAACAUCUACUCCACCUUUGUUUAUCCUCCACCUAAUGACUGAGGUGGCUCUAGUUGCAUUAGGCUCUAUUUCUUUAAUUGUGUCCUCCACAUCAUCAUCACUCGUGCCAUUCGCCCUCACGGCUCCAACUACUCCAUGGUCACCCAUGAGGAUUUUUAGUUCCUUUUUAACAUUAAAUUCAACCGUUGAAUUGAUUUCGCCAAAUUCAUUAUGGAUGGCAUGCUUCGCACCAUCUAAGGGGGCAUUAAAAACCUCUUUUACGGUAUGUUAGUGAGUGAGAUAAUUGACUUCUCUUUUGUUGACGCUCGGUGUGAUCUACCCAAGUCCUAUGCCCUAUUCAACCUUAUUGAUGUGCACACAGUUAAGAAGUUGGGUUUCGAGUUAAAGAACGGCAAAUGGGUGAGGAAGCACAUGAUCGUUAUGUUAUUUUGGUAGUUAAAAGUGGUUAAAUAGAUGUGAAACUGUAGUUCCCCUUUUAUCUUAGUUAAAUUUCACCUAUACAUAUUAUUAAUAACAAUGAGUAGAACCAUCCAAGUGUCUCGACAUGCGUGUGACUACAUUAUAUUUGUUAGUUCUGUUGUUUUAAUCUCUUUACAAUUGUUUUUCAAGAGACAAAGUUGGAUCGACUUAUGUAAAGUUGGCAAAUUGCCACUUAAAGGUAACCACUCUACAUUCUUAUUUGUUGUGCCAUUGUCUCUCCAGGCAUAGGAUAUUAUAGAUGGUGAUGAGGAGGGAGAUGAUGAUAAUGAUGAUGCUUAGGUUUCUAAGUUCCCAGCAAAAAGUGAGAUGAUAGUUCAGAGUGUGUUACAUUUUGUUGUUUGUAUUUAGUUACAUUUCUUUUUUUUUUUGAAAAAUAAAUAUUUUAUAUUCUAAUUGACCAAGGUUUACAAACCCUAACAUGUCAUACAUCAUGAGUACACUUGCUUCCCAUGGAGGUGUAUAAAGAACUGUAUGAAUUUUUGUCAAAUUUCCUGCCAUAUUUUGCAUUUUAUUUACAUUAAAAUACUUUAGUUUUUUUCCUUUCCUUUUUAUUGAACUAUAAGUUAACAUAAUAAAGUUGUUUAAAGUUUGUAGAAUCAUGCACAGUUCCUUUUUAUGCUAAUAACAUUAUUAUAUUUUGGGACAUUUUGGAAUUUCCUAUGUUUCAUGUUUUUGUGCUUUCACUUUACUAUAAAAUUAUUUAAUUACUUAGAAUAAUCUUCAAAUUAUAUUAACAAGUAAUAACUCUCGCGACAUAACACGGAUUGCCAACUAAUUUUAUAUAAAUAAUAAAAGGACAUAAUAACAAAAUAAACCCUAAAAUUAUGAAAAAAAUUUCACUUAAAAUCAUACUCGUUUUAUUUUUAUCAGUUGAGCCCCGACCUAUUAUUUAGUAUCAAAUGAAUCCGAUUUGGAUGGACAAUGCUAAUGUGACUAACAGUCCAAUUAACUCACUCAUGUUAGAAUAAGUCAUGUUGUUAGCUACAUCAUAUUUACCAUUCAUAUUGAGUUCAUUUGACACCAAAUAAGGGCUUGAUUGAUAUAACUAAAAGUUUAAUAGAAUUUUAUCAUAAUUUGAAGAUUUAUUUAAUCAUUAUGCUUAAGAAAAUUAUUUUUUUAUUACUCGUAAAAGUUCAUUUUUGACUUGUAACUAGGGAAGGGACCUCCAACAUUGGGGCAAGUUAAAUUUUUUUUUAGUAGAUUGAGUCUUUACUUUUAAGUUAUAACACAUCUUAAUAUUUUUUUUAGCAAGUUAACUCUUUAUGAAUAAAUUAGAGAAUAUUAUAUAAGAAGAAAGGACCUUAAAUUACGCAACUUUAAAAGUGAUUAUUAACAAAUCAUACAAUUGAAAUAUUCGUUCAUAUAUUAAUUAAACAAAAAUACUAUUAUUUAAAAAAAAACAUAUAAUUUCUUUGGACAAAUAUAUAAGUGUAAUUAUAUCUACGAUAUAAAAAAUACUUAUUUUAACAUUUUAUAUUAUUAAUUUGUAAUAAUUAAAUUAUCAAUUAUUUUUAAUAAUUAUUUAAGAUAUAAUAUACGAGCAUGAAUUUUAUUUCCUUGUCCAUGCCAAGCUCCACAACUCUCGUUCCCAUAAUCGUUUAUUUUUUAUUGUUCUUAUUUCCAUUUUACUUGUAAGCUACUAUUUCAUCUUUUUCUUUUCUUCUCUUUUCCAUUUGCUAUAAUUUUAAUUUGGCAUGAUAUUUUAAAACAAUUUUUGAACUAUUUAAAAACAUUCAAAUAAGUUCUAUUCUUUUAAUAUGUUUAAUUAAGUCUUUAUACUUUUAUUAUAAGUCAAAUAAGCUCUUAUAAUUAAAAAUUAAUUAAUUAUUAUUAAUUCAAACAUUACUUAUUAUUUAUAUCAUAUGGUGUUAACGUAAUAUGUUAACAUAUCGUAAUAAAUAAUGACGUGACUAUGUGACAUAUUAUUCUUUCACGUCAAUGCCUCAUCAAUAUCACAUUAUAUAAAAAAAAAUUGACAAAUAGUGACGUUACUUAUAAGAAUCUAUUUAACUGAAAUUAAAAAUAUAAAAAUUUAAUUAAACAAAUAAAAAAUAAAUUUUUUUAAAUAAUUCAUGAGAUUUUUAAAACAUUAUACCUUUAAGUUGUCAUUAUUAUUAAUGUUUUUACGAUUUUAAUUCAUGUAAAUAAAAAGCGUAUUUUACUUCUUUUUUCCGUAUUUGUAAUUUUUCCUCUUUUAUUCAAUAAUUAUGAUACUAGUGAUAAUGAUGAACACAGUUAUCAUUAUUGUAAUAAUUAAUAUUUUCAACUAAAAUUUCAAUCCUUUUCGUUUUUCCUUCUUUUAUUCCUGUUACAGCUAGCAAACACCUGCGGGCCGAGGAAGCGGCCAGAUUUGCCCAUGCAACACUCCAACCUGUCUGGGGGCAAGUCGGCCUCAUAAUACUACUAUUUUCUACUCCUUUUAUAUUUAUCACACCUGGAAGAAUAAAUAAUAACGACAAAAAUAUAAUAAUAUAAGAAAAUCAAAUGCAAAAAAAAUAAAAUAAAAUCCAUUGAAUUAAAACUUUACAAAUAUAAGUGAUGUAUAAGAUGUAAUGACCAAUUUUUCUGCUUCAGUGCUUUUUUGGUUUAAUUUUUUUUAUUUAAAAGUUAUUAUGAAAUUAUUAUGAAAAUUAAUUUUUAAAAUUAAAUUAAAAUUGUUUGAUAAAUUUGUUUUUAUAAGUUUUUUUUAUAGAUAAGUUGUUUGAUAAAAUAAUUUAUAUAAAUUUUAAUUUUGAUUAAAAUUAUUAUAAAAAUAUUUACUAAAUAAUUUUUUAUUAAUUACAAAUUUCUUUCUUCACAAUGAGAAAAAAAGUUUAUUUGAGUUGGAAAAUAGUGAUUUGUAAAGAGGGAGAGAGGAGGGAGAGAUCGAUUGAGAGAGAGAGUAUUUUGAAAGAGUAAUGUUGAGAUUAUUUUUAAUAGAUGAACAUAUUUUUAGAAUAAAAAUAAAAAUUCUCUUAACAAACAUAUAUGUUUUUAAAAAAGAUAAAAUAUCUUCACACUUUAAAGUUUUAAUCCAAAUUUUAAAUGGAUUUAUUAGUUUUCAAAAUAAACAUUUCGUCUCAAGAAUGCAAACAUUGUUAACAGAAAUUCUGAAAAAAUUGAAAUACUCAUUUUAUCUCUAUUAAUUUAAAAAAAAUUAUAAAAUUACAUAAUAGUAAUUUUUAAAAGUAAUAAAAGAUAAAAUUAUUAUUUUAUUAUUAUCACAUCAUCAAAUUAAUAAAAAUUUUAACGGUUGAUUAACGAUUUAACCUAUAUAUUUAACGGAAGAUUGUUUUUAAAAUAGAAUAUCUAUUUUAAAAAUUAAUAAAUUUAUUUAAAAUUUUGAUUAAAAUUUAAAAAUAAAAUAUUUUACCCUUUUUUAAAAAAAAGUUCCUCUAUGUAAUUUUUUCUGAACUUUUCAAAAUUUUUUUCAUACAAUUUAUGCUUUUAAAAGAUAUAAAUAGAAAAAAUUUCGAGUCAAACUCAGACUUAAUAUUAGCAAUCGCAUGAAAUUUCAAUUGUGCAUUUAUGACUUGAAAAGCACAAUUUAGAAUAAAAUAAAAAAGAAAGCAAGUAAGGAAAAUGCUGAUAGGGGUUCAGAGAGGGACACGCAGCCGAUAGUUGACCGAGUCAGUUCAGCCGAGUUGACAAUUACGCGCCAGCAACCAUGCUUGCUUUCUUUCUUUCUUCCCUGUUACCCUGUCAAAAUGUUUAAGAACGUUAGGCUUUGAACUUCCAAGCAUAACAUUUGAGAAGUCAGUUUUGGGCAACUCCUCUUAAAUUCCUAAGACACCAUAAUAGUAAAAGACACUUCCAAAACUGCGUACGCCUUCCUUCAUGGACUUUGAACUCUUCCUUUUUUAAUUGUCUUCCCCUCUGUUAACUUCUUCCAAACAAUUCCUCUUUCUUCCCCUCUGUCGGCUUUUAAGGUCAGUUCAGUUUUCCGUAUGGCUUACUUGCUUUUCUUUUUCUUUAGUUAAUUGGCUGAUUUUCUAUCACUUUUCUUUCUGGGUUUUUCUUGGUUUUGUUUGUUGUCUCUUUUUUUUUGCUUUUUCUUAUUGAAAAACAUGUAGUUGUGGCUUGAGCUCAGUUUGAUUAAAUAAUUUUCCUGUAUAGGUUUUUUUUUUUUUACUUUCUUUUCUUCAUCUUUAGCUAGUUGGUUGAUUAUCUAUCAGUUUUCUUUCUGGGUUUUUCUUGGUUUUGAUUGUUGUCUCUUUCUCUUAUAUGAAGCAUGUAGUUAUAACCUGAACUUGGUUUGAUCAGUUCAUAAGUUUUACUGUUUUUUGAUGAGUCAUGUCUUUUUAAAUUUUUUUUCCUAUUUUAUGAACUUUCUGGCAUAAUUUUCCUUUUUGUUUGAUGUGAAAUGGUGAGAUGAGCAUUACUUCUAGAUUUAAGAUCAAAUUGAGACUGAAAUCUGUGGCUUCUAGUUUUGUCAAAUUGCUCCUUGUUAUUUCUAUGCUCAACUCAGGUCUCAAUUGCUAGAAGUAUGCACGGAGAUAUGAUUGAUUAAAAUUGGAUCAGGUUUAGAAAUGAAGGUUUAGGAGUAGGCCUUAUUGGGUGUCAUUAUAAGGAGGAAGCUUUAAAAGUAGCACCAGUGGACACGAGCUGAUGACUUCAUAAUAUUAACUGAAUUUUUAGAAUUGAAGCAAACAUGGUUGGAAAUUUCAUAUAUGACUAAUUGAUGCAUUUCUUGUUAAUGAACUUGUCUAUACGAUGAUAUGGUGAUAUGGAAGGACAAUGAAGCUUGUUAUAGUUUCUAUUUUCUGGGGAUCUGAGUGUGAAAAACAAGAAUUUUGAAGUAAAAUAAAGGGCAACAUGCCAUUUUGCAGGACGUAUUAGAUGGUAUAACUUAUCACCAUAGAUGACUAGAUGUACUCUAUAGAGGUAUCAUGAAUAGGACUAGUUGGGGGAAGUUGAUUCUAUUAUUUUCAUGGAACAAGGUCCAAGAGUGUGUCUUCUGGGGAAAUGCACUGACUCAAGCUUAAUGCACUUAAAAUGCCUGAGAUUUUUAUGUAUAUGGAGUGAAAAUGAUUGAACGAGUUGAGGUUUGUGUAAAACUUUUACAUCAAAUUUAAUGGUUUUGAAGUCUCAUGCCCACAAAGUUCAUGUGAAAUAAUAAAAGAGAACAUAUUUUUUUGGUGUCACUAUACCCCUGAUAUUGGUGAAAUUGCAUUAGCCAUGUGCUUCUACAGAAUUACGGUUGGUUCUCUGUGUUAAGAGGGCAUCUUUUUCAUAUAUCUAAUCACACUGUUGAAUGGAACUAACUCAACAAUGAUGGAUUAUUCUUCUGUCUUUGUUCAUGGACUGUAAUCACCUCGCCUUUUGUAGAUGAACUGAUAAUAAUUGUCAUCUUAGGACAUGCUCUCAGAAACACCACAGAUCCUUUGUUGUUAUUAUUCUGCCCCUUCCCCUUCUUGCGGGCUAUGCUUGCAGCAUUCAGAGCUCUAUGAUGCUUCUAUUUCUGGGAAAAUUAAUCAGGUUGAUGCUACACAGAGAGCAGAGGAAGCAAUCCAGAAUUUUUUCUACUUUCUAAUGCAUAUAAGGUUAAACUAUGGAUCCUACCAAUAAGAUUAGCUAUCCUAGUCAAACGUAGUUGAGUCUUAGAUCCUAUCCCAUUGGAUUUUUUCUUUCAAUCAGCUGGUGGAUAUUAGUUACAGAUGAGAGAGCAAAUGGAUGGAGUUGACUGUUGAGGGAUGUGGAUAUUGAACUUUUGUUUGCUUUUAUGAAGUUUUUAAUAUGUUAAGUUGCAUGAUAACUAUCUAGGAAAUUUCAGAGAUGAGAUUGCAAGAAUAGACUGUGGAUGGUCUCUGCUGAUUUCAAAGUUGGAAGGGUAUUGAUGUGGGACUUUUGCUUGCUCGUUUACAAAGAUUUUGAAAUUUUCAUCAAAAUGGAAGCUGUCUGAGUGCUUCAUGUUUUGGAUCCUUUCUUUGUGAAUGCCUUUAUUUACAUUUCAUUGUUGAUGUCACUUAAUCUUGAAUGAACUUUUCUUUUCCAAUUUGAUGAGGUUGCAAUAAAGAACGGAAGCCUGAUGCUGCAUGUAAACAAUCAGGUUACAGACAUGUCAUUCAUCUCGGUCUUUUCAACUAAGCAUUCUGAGUUGUGAGAUAUUAACACACUUAAAUAUUGCAGCAUCUGCUCAAAGAAAAGGGGGGACACCUAGGAGCAUGGCUGAGAAAAGAUAGAGAACUGAGAGGCAGGGAUUAAACACAUUUAUUUGCACCUUUAUCACUAGUUUAUGCAUAGAUGAUUUAGGUUUAAGGUUACUUUCAAAAGUAGCCUGUAUAAUCCAUCUAAAAUUGGUAGGAAAGUGAGGAGUUGACUUUCAUUGGAAUUUCAAUCUUUCUUGCUUGGACUUUAUUUGCUUCUUAAAUUUUUGGGUUAUAUUUGUCUGUCGUGAGAAGUAGCAGGUGUGAAACUUCCCCUGUUAUAGUCAACUUGUGCUUUUUACUUUCUGCUUGAGAUCACUUUUCUGAUUUUAUUGAAUUUUCUUGCUCUAAUAGUCUUCACAUGCCAUUUGUGUGAACAACAAUAAUUAGGAAAUUAAAAAAAAAACAAAAAAACUUUUGAUGUGAUAGGUGCUGCUCUUGUUUGAACUAAUUGAGGAUCGUCAUAUUGUCCAGAAGAAUGAAAUUGUGAGUCUCUUGUAUGGAGGGGAGAAAGGGGGGGAAAUGCAGUAAGGGAAAAGAGAUUCUACUAUUUCACUGUAGAAGAAAUGAGCUCGAGUUUGCUAUUCUAAGGGCUGUAAGGAGUAAGUAGGAGCAAUAAGUUCGGAUUUUUAUUAAUUGAUUCUUGAGAAGGUAGAGUAUUUGUGAUGUGAUACCAAUUGUUUGUUAAGUCCAGCAAGGUAACCCUACAGUAAAGAAGGCAAUGCCACCUGCUCAAAACUUCAAAAGUUAGCUUUUUAUGAAUUUACUAGGUUUAUUUAAUUGAUAAAGCAUUGCUUAGAAAUAUAUAGAGUAUUGUAUCUCAUUGGGAGACAUAUUCAUUGUAGAUUAUGGAUCUUCAAAAUGAAUAAACCUUGCACAACUAAUAGAUACGCACCAAAACAGCUAAAGCAAAACAAAAUCCAUGAACCACUGCUACAGCCUAUUACCAGCAAAACUUACAGUUACAGAGGUAUUCAAUUAUGCCAAUGUACAGAAAUCAAAAUGUAAGACUGCUUCUUCAUAGAUAACGCUAUCGAGGGUCCCAACUGAGUCCCAUACUGAAAUAUUCCUGAAUGUAUUGGCUCUCUUGCUUUUAAUUCUGUCUCAAGUGCCUGAAUUAUCAUCCCACGUAUAAAAUCAUCCUAAAUGAGGAGAACCAACAGGUUUUUGAAUGUGCUCAGUUACCAUGAAAUCUUGUGUGUUAAUUCUAAUUGAGCAUAGGCAGUUAACUGGUUGCCUGCAUCAGUGCAUCUUCUUGAAUGCUUUUGACAUUUGAUUCGAAAGAAUUAUGAGUAUGAAAUUAAGUGUUUCUGAAUGUUUUUUUUUUUUGGCAGGUCUGAGAAUUGCUCUGAUACAAAGCAUUGGUUGAAUAUAAGAAAACUGGUCAGUGGUGCAUCAUAAAGUUAUGACUUGUUUUUCUUUCUUAUUCCGUAGACGUUUAGAUUCUUCAACCAACCAGUCUUUUGAGGUUGAGGAAGGUAAGUCAGAAGCCUUCUUAUAACAAUUAUAAAGUCUUUUAUUCUGUCAUGUGCAAUCGAAUGAAGGGCCCCUUAUUAUUUAAGACUACUAAGCCUUACCACUCAAGUCCAUUACAUGAACUAAUUCUCCAUUCUGCUCAGUUUAAAGCCAUUUGUCCUGAGAGAUGGCUAGAUAUCAAACCUAUGUACAUCAAACAGCGUGAUUUGGUCUACCUCCCUCUUCAUGUUAAAUAACUUUCCCUAAACUGGUGUAAAUCAUUUUCCUAAUUUUGUCCUGCAUUUAUUGUGCAGGAAUGAAUAUUUUUAUGUGUGUGUGUGUGUGUGUCUGCAUUUUAACGUGACUUCCACCUUUUAUAAGUAAUGUCAUCUUCCUCUGUUUUUUUUUAAUGAAACAGACAAUAUUAUCCUUUCUAAUACCAACUUAAACAUUCUUAUUUCAGCAACAAUCAUUUUGUGAAUAUUGUUUCUUCAGCAACAUCAGUCAUAGAGCUGUCCUAAAAUCACAGAAUAUUCCAGUUGCACUUCUUUAUUUCAUCCAUGCUGUUCUAAUCCUGUCAAUAAAUCCUCUCUGAACUCUGUGUCAUUCUGUAUAACAGAACCUACAUACCACCAUGCUAACUUGUAGAAACUUCUUGACUUUCAUUUUCUACUCUUCUAACCUUGUUAUAUUAUUAAACAUGCAUUUCGUAUAUUGCCAUGCUCUCUUUUAGUUCUUCUUGUGUUAGAAGAAAAAUAAAAAAACUCAUCAGAUUCUGGUGGCUCCAUUACAGUUUAUGAUCAAAUUCAAGGUUAUUCUGUUUAACACUAUGUAAGUAGGAGUACUUCUAAUUUGCUCUUCUUUUAUUCUUUUUUUCCUUUUGAGCAGAAUUUGACAUUCACAAUGUAAAAUUGUACACAUACAAAGAAUUAAAAAGUGCUACUGAAGAUUUUAGCCUUGCCAAUAAAAUUGGAGAAGGAGGUUUUGGUUCUGUUUAUAAGGUACACAUGCUGUUUCAAUAUAAUAUUCAUAUUGAGGAUCGCUUACGUGAUUCUUUGUCUACUUUAUGUCAUUCUAUGAAAGGAACCUCUUUAAAUAUCAUUAUGGAUUUUCAGGGGCGGCUAAAAAAUGGGAAUCUUGCUGCUAUAAAAGUUCUUUCAGCUGAAUCAAGACAAGGGGUCAAAGAAUUUAUGACAGAGAUUAAGGUGAUCUCAGAAGUAGAGCAUGAAAAUUUGGUCAAGCUCUAUGGCUGUUGUGUAGAAGACAAUCACAGAAUCUUGGUCUACAACUACCUUGAGAAUAAUAGCCUUUCCCAGACUCUUCUUGGUAAUUUGUUAAUAUUGUUCUUCACUUGAAAGUUCAGUUUAUUGUUUAUCAAGGCUAUUCUUUAUACUACAGAGCAGUAGUUCCAUCCUAGAACUAUAUAUUUCAGAAAAAAUGUAGUCUUUGCUAUAUAUUUUACUCCACGUUUCAUGAUAUGACUGCUCUCACUUAUAAUUCCAGAUGUCCCCAAAAAGUUGUGCAGAAUUAAAAUUUAAACACUAAUUGUUUUCAAACAUCCACAUUCCAACUAUGCGUUUCAUUAAAUGAACUGUUUGUAAAGUGAAAAAGAAGAGAAAAUGGUACCCCAUUUAUGAAAGUGAAAAACUGGAUUAUUAUGUAAAUACUAAUUAGUCUGACUGUAUUUAAUGUGGUUCUUUUUGAUCCUUGAGCAUUUUCAAAGAGGAAAGUUUUUUGGGGAUAGUGGGAGUAUUUAUUUUUCUUCAUUUUCUUAUUUCUCUUUGUAAGGAAUACUGCAUUAUUUAAAAUCUUAACCAUAGAAUUAGUACUCUCGUAUAAGAUGUAUCUUAUUUGAUGGAUUCACACAGUGCUUGCCUAAUAAAGUUUAAAUUGAAACUGAGUGCUAUUAAAACCUUUUGAUUUACAGGUAGUGGUCGCAGUAAUAUCCAGUUUAAUUGGAAAACACGGUCUAAAAUAUGCAUUGGGAUUGCACGUGGGCUUGCUUUUCUUCAUGACGAAGUAAAGCCAUACAUUGUUCAUAGAGAUAUCAAAGCAAGCAAUAUUCUUCUCGACAAAGACCUAACGCCCAAAAUAUCAGAUUUUGGCUUGGCAAAGCUUAUCCCAGCGAACAUGACUCAUGUCAGCACUCGUGUGGCUGGAACAAUGUAAGGCUCCAACCAUCAUGUUACUUGUUCAAGUUUUUUUUUUUUUUGAAGGGCAUUACUUGUUCAAGUUUAACAAUACUUUCAAACUUAUUUUUAGUUUUGAAUUAGCACUGAAUAUCAUUUUAUCAUCCACGGCAGUAUCUGUCACAUAACUAUUGGUGUUAAAAGCAAUGCUAAUACAAGAUUUAUCACUUUUGUAUAUUGGAAUUUCAGCUUUAUGAUCAUAGAGAGCAUUCGUUAUUCUGCAUUUAGUAAUUAGUGGUUAAUGUUUACUCGAUGGCAAUAAGCAUCUACAAACAUCAUUUGAAUAUUCACACUCAUCUUAAAAGGUUUUAGUUUUCAAACUUAUCCUUCAUGAAAUCUGCAAGAAAGCCGAUGGAGAAAGGGAAAAAGUGAGGCUGCUUUGGAUAACUAAUGUCUAAUAUGUUUUGGCCCGAGAAGUCUCCUUGUUUAGAUAAUCAUUUAGGUUAACUUAUGAUAAUAUGUAGUACAAGAAGUCUUUCUUUAAUUAUGUUGAUUAAGUCUUCUUUUAGGUUGGCUGAUAUGACUUCUACAAAAUCCAGUUGAAGUUGGUUCUUUAUAAAUUAGGUUUUCCAUUUUCCUUUUCAAGUAAGCCAUCAUUGUUGUGUCAUCAUGUAUAAGAUCUCUUGGCUAGCUGUUGUUAGAUUUAUCAAGCAUAUGUCAUACUUGUAGGACUGAAUUUUAGUGCAUAUUAGCUUAUCAAUUUUAAAAUUCUCUCUCUCUCUCAACCUUUAAUGCUUUCGACAAAUAUUAGCUGCCAUUAACAUUUUCAUUCACUGUUUUAGAGGUUAUCUAGCACCUGAGUAUGCAAUAAGGGGCCAGUUGACGCGAAAAGCAGAUAUUUACGGUUUUGGCGUUCUUCUCAUAGAAAUAGUCAGUGGGAGAUGUAAUACAAAUACGCAGCUACCUGUAGGAGAACAAUAUCUCCUAGAACAGGUAUGUAUUUGAGUCUCUUCAAUUAUAGUUGCAAAUUUUGUUCAUUGCAAUUAUUUCCAUACUAGAGCUUGACCUGUGAUUACAAGUAAUGGACUUCCUUUAAGUUUUUGCUCAGAGAUCAUCAAGCACUUACAAAAUGAGCAAGGAAUAAAUAUUUUGUAAAUCAUUGAAAUAUUAUUGAAUUUCAUUCAACUCUUUUUUUUUUUUGGUUUUAAAGGUUAAUCCUUGAAAAUCUGUUAGACCUUACAAACAAAGUAUAAGCUUAUUUUAGCUUUAACUGCAUCAGAGUAAAUUUGUGAUUUUUCCUCUACCAAAUCUUGAUAUUUCUUCACAUAGCUGGAGCUCUAGUUUCAAAAUUAACUUCGAUCUUGGAAUUGAAAUAAGUAGUGUUUGUGAACAGAAGAACAAAGAAUUUAAAUAUGGAGAUUAUGCAGAAAUCAUGCAGAAGAAUGAUGAGUACAAGUAUUGCCUUUUAUUUCUUUUAAAUUUUGGAUAUCUUUGAAGAUCGGCAUUAAGCUUCUUGUUAAAAGCAUGUUAUUUUCCUAAUUUUAGAUCACCUCGUGGAUAUUGUUUCCUUUUUAUAAGUAUCUGGAGAAAAUGGAAAUCAAAUAUAAUCUGGUCUAUAAGAAUGAAAAGUGUUGUUAAUCUUCCUAUGGGAAGGUUUGGGGUUUGUGACACUGUUUCUUGUUGCAGACAUGGGACCUUUACGAGCGAAGGGAGCUGGUUGGGUUGGUAGACGUAUCUUUGAACAGUGAUUUUGAUCCGGAGGAGGCUUGUAGGUUCCUCAAGAUUGGUCUUCUUUGCACCCAAGAUACUCCCAAACUCAGGCCAUCUAUGUCAUCUGUGGUCAUGAUGCUAACUGGCCAGAAGGUUGUUGAUGAGAAGAAGAUAACAAAGCCGGGUUUAAUUUCUGACUUUAUGGACCUCAAAGUGCGAAGUUCUGAGAAAACCAAGUCAGAAAGCAAACAUACAUCUUCUUAUAAUGCUACCUCCAGCUCUGACUACCUAGACAAUUCAACCCUAUCAUCAGGAACCUCAACUUCUGCAACAAUGACCUUCAACCCUCCAUAUGACCAGAGUGUUUAAGCAUUGAAACGAAUGAAGUUAUCAAAUUUUAUUCAUUUUAUUCUAUUUUUCACUUUUGAAGCUUGCCGUUUUGUAAAUUGUACAACAGUGAUCUCUUUCUGUACUUCGUCAAAAUAGCCGAAAGUACACUCUUUGUAAAUGUACUGUGUUUGUUAAGCUAAAAGGAAAUUUUUGCGGAGUUGAUCAACGAGCAUCCCUCCUUUUUUGCCCCCAAUUCCCAUCCCUUGGUUCUUCUGCAGUCUCUGUCACAUGCAGGCAUGCACACUGCCAUACACUGGUCAGUUCCAAUGUAAUAUGUGUUUUUCUGAGUUUAACUAAACUUUCUUUAGGAAAAGCAAUGAAUUUGUUUAAUAUAUGGUGCAGAAUUCAUCUGCAGGAGCAACCGCAAGUAGCCUGUUGGUCCAGCUGCACCUAUCUCCCUAGUUAUUUCACUGCAUUGCAUACUCAAAGCAAAAAAUCUAAAACUUUUCUUCUAUAAGUGUGAAAGAAAAGAAAAGGAAGAGAUAUUCCCCAGCUCCUGAGUAUACCCUUUGGCUUAGUCCCUUAUGCAAGAAAAAAAUUUCAAUCCUGAGUAACCACCUCAACUUAUAAAUUUCAUUUUGCAGUAUACAUAGAUUGUUAUGCCUGCGGCAUUGGUAACCAGGUAAUGUUACCAGUUGGACUCUUAUUUUCUGGUUAAAUUUCGGUGAUGACUACAGUCUAUAUUGAGAAAAUGUAUUGCUUGGUGUUGAUAAUGAAACAAUCACACAGCAGUUUUCCAAUAUAUGAAAACUUGUCACAGCAAACAAAGAAGCAUAUCUUUAGUUUAUUGACCCCAUUGAAUAAAAAAAAUCCUGACUAUGUAAGUGAAAAAGAUGGGGUAGGUGGUAUAUUAAAAUGGGAAAUUUUACAAAUUGGGGAAAUAAACCUAUAAUAAUAACUACUUGCUAUCAUGAGAUUUAAUUAAUAUUUACAAAGAAAGUUGAACUACUCCAAAGUCUAAAUAAUUCCCCGUAAAUAAAUUGGUCAAGGUUUAGGCGUCUUAGAUCAUUCUCCUACCCAUCCAUCCUCAAACAACUCAACCUGGAGAAAGCCAUCACCAACCGGGGUUGGCUCCUCCCUUUAAUGCCAAAUUCUUUCAUCAUUCUUUUACUUCUACUAUUUUUUUUUUAUUAGAAGAAAAUAAAAAACAAUACACUUUGUGCCAAAAUAAUUUGUGGGAAUGCAAUGUUCAUAACAUCACUUAAUAAAAUUGAUACGCUGCCCUUAAAGAGGAUUCUUGAGAAAUAUAAUGCCAACAGGAUAUUGAAAAGCUAAAUUCGCAAGAAAAUCUAUCAAACAAUUGAAUUCGUGCUACACAUGAUAUAUUUAGAUUUCAAGUUUGGGGGCAAAAUAAUAUUUAUAAAAUAGUCAUACUAGAGGUUUAAUGUUUGUAAGGGCCAAAGUAUAAAAUUCUAAAAAAAUAACGGUAUAUUAUAAAAGUUAAAAAUUUUUGAAGGCAAGUGCCUACUAGACUUAAGGGUGUGCAAAUUCAAACCGAGCCAAAGAAUCGAACUGAACCAAAAUGAGUUCAGUUUUUUUGAUUCAGUUAGUUCAUUGUUCGGUUAUUUCGAUUAAAUAUGUUUAAUUACAACAAUUUAAUCAACUUGGUUUUUGGAAAAUGCUUAUAUAAAGAGAUGUAAAUUUAUUGAUUACACAAGUCUUUUUCUAAAAGAAUUCUAACUUUUAUUAUAGCUAGGUUAAAGUGUGAAGAAAUUAUGUUUAGAAUCAUGUAGAUUUGAGCUCAAGCAAAUAAAUCAAACAUCGUCUUUAUAUCUAACAUAUAUAUAAUUUUAGAAUAUUUUUCAUGAGUUCAGUUUUUAGUAAUUGAAUCAAAUUAACCAAAGUAGUUUGGCUUUCGAUUUUUCAGUUAUCAACAUUUUUCAAUUCGGUUUUGGUCUUUUAGAAGAAAUUCGGUAUUUUCGAUUUUGAUAAAUCUAGAAUCGAACUAACUGUUCUAACCAUGUACACAUCCCUAAGUAGACCUCUUCCCUCCACCACUAACAUGAAUGAUAUUGACUUGCCAUUUCUUCCUCAAGAGAUCUUUGAUAGAUGUAUUUUUAUUUUAGAUUAAAUAGGCCCAUUUUUAUUAUUAAUAGCUCUAUUAUUAGUCAAAACACGAUUUGUCAUUUUUAUGCAUAGUAUAAAAAUUGGCUUAUGGCUUAUGGCUUUGUCGUCAUGUAACAUUAGUAUCUACUAUGACACGUUAGUGUAUUACAUUAACACCACUUACCAUAAAAAUGACAAAUAAUAUUUUGACUAAUAACAAUUAGUCAACUAAUAAUUAUAAGAGCAUAUUUGAUUUAAAAUAAAAAUUAUAAAAAUUUAACUAAAGGUAAUAAAAAUAAAAAUUUAUUCAAAUUUUACCGAAUAAUUUAAAGACCUUUUAGAUAUUAUGUCAAAAAUAUUGAAGUUGUUUCUUUUACUUUUUCUAUAUAUUACAUCUUGAUUUUCUUUGGCCCAAAAAAAAAUAAAUUUUUGGGUUUCUUUGAUUAUACAAAGUAAUAAUAAUGUCAAACUAAUAAUUUCUUUUCAUUUUUUGAUUAUAAAUUUGUCAAAGUAAUAAUAAUGUAAACUAAUAAUUUCUAUUGACUCUUGCUAUGUGAACAAGACAAGGUUCAAAUCCUAUAUUCUUGGCCUUAUUCAUUUAAUAUUCAAAUUCUAUUUAUAUAUUAUAUGUAUGAAUCGCGUAUUAUUAAUUGAGGAAUGAUCAAUCAUAAGUCAAAUCUAAAGCAGAAUCAGUAUUCAUUUGCAAAAUUACAUAAUUUUAUUUUAUUAAGUAAUCCUAAUAUUCUAAUACAAAGUUGAAUUAGAGUUUAAAUAUUAACCUUUGAAUUAAUUAAAGUUUCAGCCAUAUAUUAAUAUUAGCUUCUUAAAAGAGUAAAAGAAGAUACCAAAGUUGAUUUUUGUUGGUUAAUAAAUAUAAUAUAUAAUUACUGGCUAUUAUAUAACAUGCUUUUCUCUACUUUUUAAAACUUCCCUUUUCUUAACUAAUUGCAAAAACAUCUAUUUAUUUUUUCCUUCAUAUCUAUUUCUCAUGCAUUUCAACUGUAGGAUUUGCACCUAACCACCAACAUUUCUUUCCUUUGAUUUUGACAUUUCCAAAUAUAUAUAUGAAGGUAGCUUGCUAUCUCCCACUUCACUACCAAGUACUUUUUUCUCUGAAUAUUUAAUUUAAUAAUAAGUGCAUUUUAAAAAAUUUCUGUGAAUAUUUGAUGAUGAAUAAAUACCAAAACAAAGAUAUUAUUGCAUGAUUGGUUGUAUUAAAAAUAGAUAAUAAAUCAAUUGAAUAGUAUCACCAAAAUAAUCUUAAUUGUAAAAAAUCUAUUAAGGUCAAAUAUUUUUAUUAGAAAAUAAAUCAAAAUCAUGUGAUCAAUUAGUUUUCAAUCAACUCAAACCCAGUUAUUGGAAAAAUUUCUCAAUAGUAAUUUUUAAGCAUACAGAGUUGCACAUAUUUAUUCAUAUAUGUUCAUGUAAUAAUUCUUAGUUAGGUACUUAUAUUUUUAUUUAUCAUUAAAUCAAUAGCGUAUAGCUAAUGUGAAGGGAAACUUUCCAUUAAUAUAACAACUAGAUUGUUACCUACUAUAAUACAUUCAAUGAUAAUUUUUUUUUUGUCAAAAAAGGAAAUUAAGGCAUAUAAUUUUUUUUUUCAAUCGGGUGAAAGGGAUUUAAAUUUUAUUCUGUAAAUUAAAAAUUAUUUAUUAAUUAAUAAAUUAAAUAUUCGAAUGUAAUUAAAAUAUAUAAGUUGGAACUUCAACUAGUAUUAUAGUUACGUACUCAAACAGGUAUUGAAUUCCUGGUGAAUCUUUUCCCCUGAACGUCAGAUUUGACAACAUGUUGUUCUUCAUCGUUUACAAUUAAUUAUUUUGAGAACUAAAUUAAUUACAUAAAUAAAAAAAUUUAAAAAAGCAUCCUUUUCUAACCACGUGGAAGCCAUAAAAAAAAAGAGAAAAAGAGAGGGCCAUAGUCCAGUAUCUCUAAAACAAGUGGCGCCAGAGCAACGCAUGUCGUGAUUCAAGAGAUGGUAGGUUGAAUCUAGACUGCCACGUGUUUUUUCUGGGCAACUGUUAGAUGCGAUGCAAUUACUAUUUAGCUUUGACCGUUCACGACAAUACCUUUGAGAUGUAAUUUGAUUAAACACACGGCAAUGUGCGGGGCGGGAGCUUACAGACUUUCUGAAAAUGAUGGAAUCAGAAUUGUCAAGUGCCUUUUAAAGAGACGGAAACAGGGAGAGCUCUAACUUGUUUCCAGCUGUGAUGAAAGCAGGUGAAUGCUGGUUCCUAGAAAAACACGACCAAGGUAAUUAUGGCUUUAUCAAAACACCAAAAGUCGGAAAUGACAACCAGGGAUUCACCAAUUCAGUCAGUAUCGAGUAAAUACAGCCGCUAAAAAUGUUCUUUUACCGUCUUUUUUACUCGAGCAACCUACAGCAAGGCUUACCAAGGGGAAGGAAGCUCGUGAAACAACCAAUGGUCUGGUUCGGAUAAGUAAGAUGCACAGCAAUAUCUGAUAUUUAAACAUGAUUUUUUUCUGUACAUGAUGAUGUUUGAUUAUAUAAUGAUAAGUAAUAUUUUUUAUUUCAUAAAUUUUAAAAAUUUCAAUUCAAGAUCUUUAAAAUAUCUCCUUAGAGACAAAUUAAAUAUGACUUGAUUUAGUUUUUUUUUUUUUGAAAAUUAAUAUCAAUGACUUGAUUUAGUUAAAAUUAAAAUAGUCGUUCUGCCUCUUUAAAAUGUGUGAAUUAUGAAAUUCAACCUAUGAUAGCACAACACAUAAAAUUCUAAAGGUAAAAUACACAUAAUCUUUCAAGUUUUAAUCAUAAUUUUACACGAGUCUAUUAGUUCAUAAAAUAAACAUUCAAUUCCAAAAGAAUAUCUCUGCUAAAUAUAUAAGUCUAUCCGUUAAUCAACUCUAUUAAUUUGAUGAUGUAUCAAUAAUAAAAAUUAUAAUUUUAUCUUUUAUUAAUUUUAAAAAUUAUAAAAUUAUAAUUUUUUUUUUAAAAAAAACCCACUUUACUUUUGUCGGCCUAUCACCUGUUGGUCAACUACUCUAUGGGUGCUCAUGUCACAGAUCUCACAUUCAUGAGAGAUGAGAUGAGUAUUGGAUAUAUAAAUAUAGAUCUUCUACCAUCUAUUAGACAUGCCUUUUAGGUUGAAAAUUUGAACCCGUGAUUUGUAAGCUUACUUAAACUCUAUUUUCAGAACUUAAGGCUGCAUGGAAUUGGACUUAAAUUUCAGCCUGUAACAACUAAUUUGAUUAAAGGGGAAAGCAUAUAUAUAAUAUUAAUACAUGGUCCUUCCCAUCACAUUAUAAUUGGUCCAUGUGAAAUUAAAUUUUCUUGAAAGAGACAAGCAACGUAAGGCUGGCACAUCAUGUGUGUGGAUAAACAAACGUUUCUGUCAUGAAAGAUACUUACAUCUUACAUGUUACUGAAAGAGAAAUAAAGCCUUUACCAAUACUUUUUCCACAUCUAAUGAAUCUAUUAUUAGUGUAUAUAUACCUUAUAUAACUGAAAGGAAGAAAAGAAACCAAUGAACAACACAAACAUCCAACUAAACAGUAUAUAAUUAUAGAAAAAUUUUAAUUACAUAUUUGAUACUCGAAUUAUAAUGAAUUAUCAAUUGUACAAGUACAUACCCGAAUUAUAUUUUUGUCUACCAAUUUGCAAUUUUGAUUAAUCCCAUUAGUCAAAUGUGUCACGAGUCCAAACACAAUCAAUAAAUGCCGGUCAUGUGUUUAAAAAAGUCAUGUCCUUUUUACAAAAUUUUAAAAAUAUUUAAUUUUUGGAAUUAAAAAAAUCAAGAAAAUAAAAACACAUUACAACGAAAUAUUUUUAAAAUGUGUUAUUAAAAAUAUUUUAAUAACACUUUUUUAUACCUUUUUACAAUAUUUUUAUAGAUUGGAUUGCAUUAUGUAAAUUUUUAACAGUAUUAUGAAUAAAAUGUAAGAUUGCAUAGAUUAUUAAAGGUUGUAUUUUUUUUAUACUGCUAUUAAAUGUAAAACAAGUGAAACUAAAAAUUUAGGUAGUUACAUUUUUUUAAAUUUAACUACACAAAAAACUGUUAUAAAAAAAUUUAAUUAAAACCCAAUUUUGUUGUAGUGAAAAAAACCCAAUGUUGCUUAUAUUUUUUAUUAUUUGUUUUAGUUUUCCAAAAAGUCACUAAAAACAAAAACAAAUGAUAGAAAUUAACAAAAUCAAUUCUAAUGAAGACAAACAAUUAACUAAAAAUGCAAUAAAAAUUCUAAAAUAAAUAAUUAUUCAAAAUUAAAGUAAUGUAUUAUGUUCUCUAAAACAAAUCGUAUAGCUUUUAAUUAUUCAAAAAUUUAUUCUCUUGUAUCUAAAUAUAUUUUUCACAAUCAAACAUAAACUUAAAUUGGAAAACCCACAUAAUAGAACGGAACUUAAAUAAAUAUGUCAAUGAAGAAUACAAGCAAAAUUGUAGUAUCUGCUUUAUCUGGUUUUCGCUGUGAACUUUCCCCUCCGCACACAUAUCGACUGUCUCACCUGCAGCUCUAAGUAAGCUUAUUCUUCUUCUUUACCUUGUCCUAUUUAUUAAAUUUAGAUUUCUUUAACAAAAAAAAAAAGUGCAGGGCUUUUUUAUCAUAAAUUAUUUGUCCAAGUUAUUAAUAAUAAGAAUAAUGUCAGGAAAAUAUUAGUGAUUUACUAUUGUUAACACACGUUGUUUUUAAUCGUGAUAUUUCCUUUUAAAAGAUAUAAAUAAGCGAAAUUAAUAGUAAAUAAUUAAAUUAUAAAAGUAUCAUUGAAUAUUUAUUGGAUGUAAUCGGUUUUUGCAGGACUCAUACUUAAGUUAGUAUGCUAUAAAUUUUUAGUUUUUAUUGAUUUUUUUUAAAUAAAAGAUAUAUUGUAACCCAUUUACCUAAAACAUUAGCCUAACACUCUUGUAUAUAUACUUUGUUUCUAAUCAAUAUAAAAUAGAAUAAGUUAAUCCCAAUUAUCUAUUAUUCACAUGGUAUCAGCCUGCGCAAUAUAUGUCAUUUAGCAAAACAUUCUUGGUUGGCUUUUUCGAAUAGUUAUAUUUCUACAAUUACAUGUUCUAAUUUGUUAUAUUUUAAUGUUUGGGUCCUUAUUCCAUUACUUAUUUAUAUAAUGCUUGUUAUUUUCUCAUACUUGUGGACGAUUAAUCUAAUUCAACUUGAGUUUAUCUUAUACAGAACAAAAUCUCAACCUCUUGCUUACAUUAAGCAUUUUUUUUCAUUAGUUAAAACUCAAUUUAUUUUAUUAUUCGAUUCAUUCGUAUAGACAGUGAUAUUGAAUUUUUUUAGUCAUGAUACUUGAAUUUUUUUAAUUUAUUUAAUGCCAUCAUUAAUAUAAUUAUGUUCAUACACCAUAAUAAAAUUAUGUGAUUAAACGUAAAUAUCUUCAUUCUUUUAAUGUUGCUUAUACUAACAUUUUCUUUUAAAAAAUUUUGAGAGAAGUGUGUUCUUGUUGAUUUUAGGGAUAAUCGAUGUCCAGCAAAUACCUUGGAGAAAUUCAUGACCAUAAAGACUUGCCAAGGGUUGGGAAAUUUCGUCUUAGGUAUUAUAACUUGUCAAAUUUGUUAAUUUAUCUUGCAUAUAUAUAUAUAUUUGGUAAAAUACCUAUAUAUUUUUAAAUUUUAAUUAAAAUUUCAGACAGAUCUAUUAUUUUUUAAAAUAAACAUUUCAUUUCAAAAUGUUUUUUUAUUAAUUUAAAAAAUUAUUAUUAUAUAUUUUUUAAAAAAAUAAAAAAAUAGGCUCCCUAAGGAAGGGGAGCACUAAUCUCCUUCUAUUUUUUUAAAUUAAUAAAAAAAUAAAUAAAAAUAUAUAAUUUUAAUUUUUAAUAAAAAAUAAAAUUAUUAUUUUAAUAUUAUCACGUUAUCAUAUUAACGAUUGAAUAACGACUGAAUUUAUGUGUUUAACAGAAGAUAUUUUUUUUAGAUGAAGUAUUUACUUCAAAAACUAAUAAAUUCGUUUAAAAUUUAGAUUAAAAGAGAGUAUUUCAGCCUAUUCUUUUUCGUAUCAAACACUACUAAGGUAAAGACCCUCAAGUUUGCAAUAAAAUAAUAAAAGAAAAAAGUAUCAACAAAACAUAGUAAGGUAAAGCAGGUGGAUGUGAGUCCUUUCUCGUCCUCUAUCACAUGCUCUUUCUCUUUUUAAGAUUAAUUGGAAUUAAUUAUUCUAUUGCUUUCCUUUUUAUCAUUUCAUUUAUUUUUUUCUUUUAUAAUUUUUCUUUGGUUCUCUCUUUUUUACCCAUAUUUUUUUAAUUACUUACUCAUAUUAAUUAUUAUUCCACCUAUUUCCACCGACAAAUUAAAGAUGAAGGCAUGAUUGGGCAGAAUGCAGGCAAAUUGAGGACGACAACGUUCGGAUCCAUUAUCUAUCUGUUGCAAUUAUAUAUUUAUUUAGUAUUUAAGAUCUCCCAUGCAAGAUUGAUACAUCUUAAAUUUAUCAUAAACAUAUUUCCUCUUGAUAAUUAAUACUCCCAUCUUUGCUAGUAAACACUUGUGUCAAAAUUCAAUGAAAGAAACCUUAGCAGCCAGUAUUCAAAAGCUUUUAAUUUGAGAUGAUUAAUUCUCUUUUUUGCAUUUUUAACACUUUGCUAAACACUAUUAUUUUUCUUUUUCUCUAUUUGGGUGAUCAUUUCUUCACUUUUUUUUAUCAAUAAUAUCCUUUGUCUUGUGGCAAAUCUCAAAUCCUAUAUUAUACUGCAAACUCUUACAUUCAAAGCCCUUUUGAGACUAGUGGCUUUGCACAAAGUUUUAACUUAGAUUUUUAUCCAUUGCCCAUAAAUUGCAAUAAAUCUUCUUUGGCACCAGAAUCAAGCCUUAUGCUUACCAAGUCUAGUUUAACAUGAAGAAUCUAAUCUAAAUCAUAGAAUAUAUCUAAAGAAGGUUAGACACUGCAUGUCUUCUUUAUCCAUUAUUGUCAAUGUACCCGUCUACAUUUGUUAGUGCUUUUUUCCCCCUAUAUUUGAGUACUUCAUGCGUGAUUAUUAUACUUAAGAAGUUUUAGUUGAACUAACACUGACUAAAUAUAUUGAUCAGGUAAAUAGUCCAUGUGGUGGGAAAUUUACAAAUAUAAUUGUUUAUGUGAAUAUUAAAUAUAAAAUCACUCUUUAUAAAAUUAUAAUUCAUAAUUUAUUUAUAUUUAUUAAUAAAUAUAAGUUUAUUAAGAAAAAGAAUUAUGCCCAUUAAAUUCUUGAAUGUCUCCCGUUGGGGUUGUACAAGUGGUCUAGGAAAUCAGUUGUGCUUUUAUUAUUUGUUUAAUUUAAUUUUUUUUUGGGAAUAUUUGAUAAUGGGUAUCUUUCAAAUAUGUACUUGUGAAUAUUCGAUCUAGUUAUAUAAAGCAUGAGUACCUUAUAUCUCAGAUUGAGACAAAUUCAAAUAGCAAGUUUAGUAUUCCUUUUGAGUUUGAGUAGGGUAUAAGUAUAAACCCUUUUAGUUUGUUCCUUUCUAAUUUUGUGCUUGACAUAAAGGAAAUAACUUACUGUAUUCUUAUUCUAAUUACUUACCAAACUAAACAAACCUUAGUUAUUGAAUCAUUGUUUUAAUUGGGGGGAAAAGAAGGAGGAAUGCUUGAUGGCACAUUGGUGGCUUAUGAAGAGAGCAUGUCAUGCUUGUAAUUGAUGAUGUUAGCAAUGUUAGCAAGACCCCUUUAAAACAAGUGGGUCCUAAAGCCCUGUGGAUCAUCAUCUUUCAUCACCAACUCUCCCCAUCAUCAUCAUCUAACAUUCCAUAAAGCCAUAAAUAUACUUUGAAAAUGUACCCAAACGGUUCAAGAUACUUUGAUCUGUAAUUAGUCAGAGUAUUGGUGUGUAAUUUUUAUGUAAACAAUGGCAAAACAAUACUUGUGAAAAGAAAAAGGAAAACAAAAAUUAAUAAAAUAUGUGACUCCAAACUUGGCUUUGUCUAAUGUCUCUGGCUUUCCAAGUUCGGUCAGUAAGAGAAGUAAGCUCACUCUCUCUUUUUGUCUUUAGAAUAACUUUUUCAAACUUUCUUCAACUCAGUCAUCUUUUUCACGAGUACUCGCUCAAAAAACCUAAUAAUUACUAAUUAAAAAAAAAACCCAAGAAAAGCUGUUUAGAUUAUUAGGGUUUUGUACUACCAUUCCAAAAAAAAACCCAAAAUUUUCAAACCGAAAAUUUAUCCCUUUUUUAAUUUAGCUUUCACUCACCCGACCCAACUCAACUGACCUUAUCAUCUACUUUGCUUUGCUCUUUAGUCCUUUGGGUUUAGUUUCAGAUUUUCAGAGUCAAAAAAGGGGAAAAAUUGGCUGCCAUCUUUUUUUUGGCUUUUUUUUUUGGUUGGGUUUUAAACCUUUUUGGAAGCUUACAUGUGAAGCAACAUUUUAGCGUUGAACGAACCCAGCGUGAUCGAAUUUACUCUCUUAACUGCAAUGCCUCAAAUGGGUAUUUUUUAUUUUUCAUAAAUAAGCAAAUGGGUAUUUAUUUUUUUCGAUAAAUGAGCAAAUGGCAUGUUUUAGUUCCUGUAAGCUUCAAUUCUUGAAAUGGGUAUUUUUCUUUUCUCCAUUUUCUUAGCGAAAAAAAUUGAUCUUUUUUGAGCUGGAUCCAAGGCUAAAAGGGUGAUGGAGGAUAUAGGGCUUGUUAAGCAAGGUUGGAAAUGGUUACAAUCUCAGAAACAUGUUUAUUCCAAGGCGAAAACGGCGGUUGGUUGUUGUAGGGAUAAAAUGGGGUUGUUAAUUGAGAGGCAUUGGCCUAUGGUUUGUAGUGGAUGUGCUAAAUUCUGGAAGUUUUCGAGGUUGCUUUUGGUUUAUUGGAAAGAUUGUAUGGUGAGAGGGUUUCAGUCAUGUAUCAGAUUGGGUUCAGCUUCGUUGCUUGUUAUAAUGUGGAGUUGUUUCCUUAGCUUGACUUCCAUGUCCUGCUUGCUUUAUGUACUUCUAAGUAUGGUAGGUCUUGUUUCGUGUUCUUAUUAAAAUCUGUUUGGCUUGUUUUUAUAUUUUGAUUAUGUGAGUUGUUGGACAAUUUUCAUGCUCAUUGUAGAUUUUAUAUGGCUUUGAUUAGGCAGAUGGACUUGGUAAAUUUGGUUGGAAUGAACUAAAACAAAGUUGGGAUGAUUGAUUGCUUCGAUUAUAUAUUUGUCAACCUUGUGAUAGCUUUGAAAUUGUCUUCGAGAAGAAAAAUGAAUUGGGAUAUCUUUGGAAAAAUUUCCUGGCUUGAUUGAUCGAGUUGGAGUUUCGAAAAUGAGAAUGAAUUUAAUAACUUUGUUUCUCAGUUAAUGCACUAGAGUCUAGACCGUGGCCUUUGGGCAAGAAUAUUUGCUUUUAGCUAAAAGUUUUAAUUUUAGAAAGCUUAUGGUUGUGCUGAAUGGUGACUGUUGAUUGGAGAUCAUAUCUUGAAGUUCUUGUUGUAGAUGUCAAAAUGCUUUUUCUUGAUGAUAUUGUUGAUUCAAAAGAUCCUUCGGCAUCAUGCUUAUGCUGUUGUCAAGGAAUUGCUGCCCUUGGUUUUUUGCCUUAAUCUCCGUAUGUAAACUGUCUGCAUACAAAUUUGAGUGUUAGCGUCAUUGAAGUUUUUCCGAACACUUAGUCUUGAAUGAGCCAUAUCUGCACUACAUCUCCCACGAUUGUGAUGUCAAAGGUUUAAAUUUUGUCUUUUUCUAACUUAUAAUAUAUCUGUCUGAUAGCAUUUGCUCUCUACUGAUGACUGUGGACAUGAGAUUAGAGGAGCAAAAGUUUCUAAGGGGUGUCAACGGUGGAUUUGUUUAUUUAGUUAAACAAAACUUAGUGAGGUUUUGUUUUACUGGGAGUUUUGGUGGAUUUUGACUUUCUUAAACUAGCUUAAGGGUAUGUUAGUUUUACUGAGUGGAAUCAAUUCUAUUAACUUAUAAUUUGCAACUAGAAAUUUGAGAAUGAUAAUGACAAUCUGGUCUCAUAUGUUUCAGGGAGCUGCUGGAGCUGCAGUUCAGUACUUAGGUUACACUCCUGGACUCUUUCUUGUAGGACUCUUUGGCAUUUUGAUAUUAUGGAUGUAUGCUAACUUUUGGAUAACGGGAACAUUGUUUAUAGUUGGAGGUACAGUUUGAUUCUUGCCCUCUGACUAUGAAUUUUUCUUGUCAGUAACAUUAUGUUUGUGCUUUUUGUUUAUUUCAUGUUCUAUCUGUAAUGACACAUCAGAUAGGUCUAUCAAUGUUGUUGAUUACACACAUGACCUGUCAUACAUUUUCUGUUUGAGAAACAGUUGCAGAAACCAAUGAUGAGAAAGUUUAUUUUUAAAAAAUUAUCUACCUUAUUCUGUGUUAAAAUUGAUUAUGGCUGUAUUUUUCGAGUUUGUACAUAUUCAUAUUUACUAGAAAAUCUAUAGGAAGAUGUAAGGAAAGCACAUAUAAAAUAGUUUGUUUUUGUCAAUUGGUCUGGUUGUUUAUGAAGUAAAGCUUGUCAUGUUGGCUUUGGCAAUGGAAACUGAAAUGAAAAGUGUCAGAUUGUGACAAGAGGAGUAAGACCAAGAAAUUAUGAAAGGAGUUUUGUCUCUUAAUCUCUAACUGACACAUUAAAUUAUGUUAUAAGCUAUGCAGCACUUCGUAGGCUCUCAUGCUCCCUGCUUAAGAAUGCAGAGAAUUUGCAUGCCUAGCAAGUGCAAACACAAUUGAUUGUGGGAUUAAUUCUAUCAGACAUAAUAGGAUUCUACAUGAUUAGGAGCAGACCCAAAAGGAAAAAAAUGUGGAAUCCUUUGACAGUAUUUGUUUUUAAUGUUAUUAAUUGUUUCAAAUAUAAAGGUUCUGUUUUUUUGGUUAAAUUAUUAGCAUCAUCUUUAGGCUGAGUUCAAUCUAUCUGUAGUUAUUUCCCUCAAUACCAGUGCUUGACUAGUCGUGUCACUGUCCUAUCAAAUGCCUUGUCCAAACUGAGUGCCGGCAAUCAGUACGCUAACCUUUGGUGAUUGAUUGAAAUGACUUUGAUGUUAUCAAGUUUUAUCAUGCCUUUAAUUAUUUACUUCAGCCACUACCAGCCAAACAAUUAACCUUCUGGAAUAUGAAGUUCCAUGAUAAAUGAUUUUGAGGAAUUUCCAUGACUUUUUAUUUGAAAAUUUGAGUGAUCAACCAAAGCCCUUAUCCAGCUUUUACUAUAUGUGAAGAAGUGUUACUUUAUAAAAGUCCUCUGCAUCAUCUGAAACCUGGCUAGCAUGUGAAUUUACUCUCUAAACUUGUGCAUGUUUCCUCUUUGUUGUCAAUGUUGCAUUAUUAAUUUGUUUGCCAUGAUAAACAAGGUAUGAAUUAUAUCUAAUUUUGGAUGGAAGAUUUUUUUCUCUGAAACUUGUUUGAUGGACUUAAAUGUGUUUGCAUUUCAUCUUUUUUAACUAUUCUGUAUGUGUGUUUUUCUUCUUCUUUUUUUAUUUUGAGGUCUCCAUGUUGUUAUCUCUCUCUGCAGGUUAUUUGUUCUCCUUAAGUCAUGCACGGUUGAUAGUCUUGAUAGCGACUACAUACUCUGUUUAUUGUGUCAAAGUUCGUGUUGGGUGGCUUGGUGUUUUUCUAUCAAUAAACCUUGCAUUUUUCUCGAAUGAUGUAUUGAAUUAUUUGCUCCAAUGUAUUGAUAAUGCGAGUGAAAACACACAUUACGAAGAGCAGAAGGAAUCCAAACCAGUUAUGGAAGAUGAUUUAUCUGGAGAAUGUGAUUACUCCAUUCCCACUGAUGAACCUGAGAAGGUGCAGUCAUGCAAGUCAUCCAGUAAAUAUUCUACUACGUCAGUUAUUAGCCAAAAAGAGUUUUCUGCUAAAAGGGUGGUCAAAGAAGAAACGAGUUCGGCUGAUGAAAUGAAAAGAAUAUUGAAUAGCACAGAUCAUUAUGAAGCAUUGGGGUUUCCUCGUCACAUAAAAAUUGACACUGCGCUCUUGAAAAAGGAAUAUCGAAAGAAGGUAGAUGCUAUCCUGAAGGAAGGCAUAAUCAUUUUUUUGCCUAAACAUCUAACUUAGUCACUGGUUUUUGUUUCUGUAAAAGUGUAACUAGACCUUAGGAAGAUUUCUCCAUUUCUAUUAAAGUGAUAUUGGGCCAUGUUUCAUUAUUUUAGCCUUUGUUUCUUAUAGAUUAUUUCCUUAAUUCAUAAUUAAGGAAAGGGAAAAGAUUUUAGGAUUUGUGUAAAGGUAAUGGAUGGAUUGGAGUUCAAGAGAAACAUGGUAGGUGAGAUAAUGUUUUAGGAUGCAAGGGAAGAUAGCCUUCUUUCAUAUUCUUUUUCAUAAGUUCCCUUCAUUUAGCCAUCUUUUGUUUUCCACUCUUUUUUUUUUUUGGCACAUCAACUAAUUUGUUGACUUAUUUUCUCUCAAUUCUUCUUUCAACAGGCCAUGCUUGUACAUCCUGAUAAAAAUAUGGGAAGUCCUUUAGCAAGUGAAUCAUUUAAGAAAAUUCAGUGUGCAUAUGAGGUGAGCAACUGUUUUCUUAUUGCCAUUUACUCCUAAUAUAAUUUUUAUUUUGAGUUCCUAUUUUAGGUAUAUCUGAAAUGAAAGUUGAACAAUGUCAACGACUCGAGAACAUUUUGGCUUUGUCUUUAUGCAGCUUGAAUUGGCAUGGAUUUGUAGGUUCUUUCUGAUUCAAUGAAAAAGAGGGACUAUGACGAGCAAUUGAAGAAGGAAGAAUCCAGAACUAGGAGUGUCUGUCAAAAGUCUCAUAGCUCUUCACGGCAGGUAGUUUUGAUUUCCAUAGCUCCUUUUUGUUUUGCUGGCAUUAUUAUUUCUUUAGAGUGUGUUCUUGUAGUUCUUUUUUUGAUGGAAUUUAUAGUAAACAGGCAUGAAAUGCAAAAUUACUUUUGUGUAAGAGAGAUAAUGUGCAACUCUUAGAAUUUGGAAAUCUAGAUUCAGGGUUCUCAUUACUUGGUUUUGCUUAUCUGGGAGUUUCUUACAGAUAAUAUUGUAGAAAGCUCUGGAAUUUUAGGCAAAUUGGAAAAAUUUUCAAUCUAUUUCUCCAAUAACUUUGUCCUCUUGAGUGAAGAUCAAUUUGAGUUAUGGUGUUGAGAUUUCCUGAUCUCACUAUUGGCUAAUGAGGGUAAGGUUUGUCCAACAUGACUGCAAUAUUUGCCUCUGGCAAUCAAUUUUCAGUCAUUUAUGGUCUUAUGGUUAGUGGCUGCAUGUGCAAACUUUUUUUUUUCGUGCUGAUUCAUGUGAUUUUGAGUCAGUUCAUUCAUGCGGAGUGAUAAUAUGAAAAAAUAAUAUCUUUCAACCGUUUUCUCCUUUCAGCAGGCUAGUCCAGAUAAUUGCUCUGAAGAAUCAAGGCGUAUCCAGUGCACUAAGUGUGGUAAUUCACAUAUAUGGGUGUGCACAAAUAGGAACAAGGCCAAGGCGAGAUGGUGUCAGGUCAGGCUUCGUUUCUUUCUGUUUGAAAAAAAUUCAAUGUAAUAAAAGGUCUAGCAUUUUACAUUUAUUAUAAAAUGAGGCUUAACCAUGAAAUGUUGAGGCAUAAGCCUUUUGAAGUGAAGAGUUUAAUUGAAAUUAUAAUAACUAUUUCAAUGAAUUUAAACUUUAAAAAGCUAGAAAAGAAUGAUAAAAUAGAUGUGCAAUAUCUUUAACAUAAAUAUUACUAACUAAUGAUAUUUUAAUGUGUUAUUUCCCUUUUCUUUUUUGGGUCAAAGUAUUGACGUGUUGAUGGCUUGAAAUGCGAUUACACAAGUGGAUGCAUAAAAGGAAAAAGAUGCCUGUCCAUGGUGGGUCACCAAUUAUUCUAUCAUUAAGAAAAUGAUGUGAAACUGUUCAAUCUAAUGCUUGCAGCUCAAAACGCAAAAGCUACUUGUAAAAAAAAAAAAAAAAAAAAAAAAGUAAUAAUGGCUGCAAACCUCUUAAGAAAAUUGAAAAUGUCAAAGCAAACAAAUAGAGUGAGGAGAAAUUCUUCCAAGUUGUGCCUAAGGCGAUUUUAUGAUUCCUCAUCCUAGAGUGUCUCUCAAGGCAGGAUUCAAUAAUGCUUUUUAAAGCACUAGUCAAUGUUUGUUCUCGUGCACACACACACACACACACACACUUGCAUGCUGGUGUGAGCAUACACACAGACAUGCACACAUUUACAAACUCAAAGAAUUCAUUUGCCCUAAAUGCAUUUCAUAAAUUUCUUAUAUUAGCUCUGACUACAGGAUUGCUGUCAAUAUCAUCAAGCCAAGGAUGGAGAUGGAUGGGUUGAGUACAAAGGUUCAUUGGUGUUUGAUAGGCCUCAAAAGGUAGGUUACUUCUGACAAAAAGGUUCAGUCCAUUUGAUUUACAGCAUUGAUUGUUUCAACUGAUAUUGGUAUGACCAUCAAGUUGUGAGUGUCUUUUGUCAACAGUUUUUUAUUAUCAAAUUAGCAAUUUGCUUAGUCAUAUUGUUCUUGCUGUGGUGUGUGAAGUUAAAAACAGGAAAUAAUGUUUAUCAGAUGCAAAACUUAAGAUUGGAGCUGGAACAAGAUAGUAGAUUUGAGUUUUAAAUCUCUAAUGUUUUAUUUUGGAAUAAGAAAGGUGCUUACAAUUGAUCUAAAGGAUUAUUUGGAUGAAGGUUAUGAGAGCACUCUUAUUCUAGCCUUUCAUUACAAAUAAACCCAUCUAAUCAUAGCCAUGUUAAUAGUCACAACUCACAUGCUAGUUAAAUGGCUACUUCAUUAAUGGAAGACUACUGAAAAUGGCAUGUUGAUUCUUUGUAAAGAAGCAACUCGACUUAUUAGUUUCUGAGUUGCUCUUAACCGAAGCACUUCGUGCACUUGGGUAUUUGCAACUUUAUCAGCAAUAUGGAAAGCAAAACACUUAUCAAAUUAGAUGAUAUUGCGGGAGAAUAGUGAUGUCUUGCAACUAUUUUAUUUAUUCUUGUGUAUGAAAACAAAGCAGUGUUGUUCAUGAAAAUCUAUAAGAAUUUAAAACAAAAUGCGAGGAAAAACAGAAAAGAGAUGAUAUUUGAAAAUUUUUGGGAGGAUAUUGGUUUUCCAGGGCCUUUUUCAUAAGUACUUUAUAUGCAAUAACAAAAAAUUAUGAAGAUGUACAGGAGGCUAAAAUACCAUUUAAAGGAUGUAAGCCUUGGAUAGCAUCUUUUCUCCCUUUUCAUGCAGUUUGCUUGAUUAUAUGUGUGAUUUAGUUAUUCAAGUAAACAUCUGCUAUUGUUCUUUGUCUGCUUAUCAGAAAUUUUAGUCCCCUUCUUUCAAUUUUAUGCUGUUUAAAAGGCUUAAGUAUUUAUUACACUUAGCAGUUUGGUACUGUACCUGUUUUUUAGGUGGAAAUACCACGUGCUUUUGUUUGUGCUGAGAGCAAGAUCUUUGAUGUUUCAGAAUGGGCUAUUUGCCAGGUCAGUGGUUCAUGUUUUGUGCACACAUGCAUGUACAUGUAUUUGUUUGAGUGUGUGUGUGUGUGUUAGCUUUAUUGGUUAAUUUCAUCGUAGGAAUAAGUGACAGAAACAAAUAAGAAGAUAAAACAGAAUCUUAAAUACUCAAAUUAAAAGCAAUAGGGUGUUCAUUAUUUGAAAAACAAAGUACAAUUGAUUUGAUGUUCUUGUAAAAGUCUUGGUUCAGUUUGAGUUUGAUAUCCAAAUCAACAUAAUUAUUUUGUUAAUUUGGCUAUCCUUUGUUCCUAAUGAUUUGACAAAGUUUUAAAUCGGCUUCCUGCCUUUCUUUUAUGAAUCUUACCUAGAAAAAUUGUCUUGAAUAGAGUAUAAUGACAAAAAUAGAUCCAUGUAGCUGACCUUAUAGAGUUGGAAAUGGCUUUCUUUUCUUGUUAUCAUUGUUGUUCAGUUUCCUUUGGUCUAAAGACCAAAUCAAACCAAAGGUGUAAGCCACAAAUGCUCUGUAUAUGGUAAGUACAAGCAUAAUCAUAUGUGUGUUUCAUUUGAAUUAUCUAGUUUUUUGCUGUAAAAAAACAUUUUUACACUUAUAUUGGAUAUUUUACGUAAAAAAUAUAUAAAAAAACAUUUUUUAUUGCUGGGUUCUACUGUACCCGUGUUCUAAUUUAUUAGAAAUUGCCAUGUUGUUGUGUCCGUAUCAUGUCGUACAUGUAUUGCUUGUCUGUGUCUGUGCUUCAUGGUAAUGCACCAACUACUGGAUGAGAUCCAAGAGAAGAUUACCAGAACCCUUUUAGUUUGUAUGAACAGAACUCUUACUCCACAUAAUUAUAAAAAAUAUACACUUUCUUUAUGACACUAAGAAUCCUUGUCAUAUCUCUUAAGCAAAGAGCCUGUUUGGUCUGGUUUUUUUCUAGUUUAAAAGCUAUUAUGAAGCUCUUGUGAAAAAUAAUAGCUUUUAAAAAUAAGCUAAAGUUGAUUGGUAAAUUUCUUUUUAUAAGUUCUUUUUUAUAAGUUAUAAUUUUGGUUAAAAUUAUCAUAAAAGGUAUUUCCUUUUUCGAGAGGGUAAUAUUGUAAUUAUAUUUAACAGAUAAGGAUAUUUUUGAAACAAAAAUAAAAAUUCUCUUGCAUUUUUAAAAGAAGAGAAGAAAAAUCUCCUCACAGGAGCUUUUCCAAAAGCUCUGUUUUUGAAAAUUUUAUUUUUUUAAAAAAAAGCUACUUUUUUUUUUAAGAGCUUUUCAAAAUUUAUGUUUGACUUGGCUUUUGCUUUUAAGAGGUAGAUAAGUUGAAAAAAAGUCAGGCCAAACAAGCACUAAAUCUCUUUUGCACACUUAUUUCCCUACUAAUUUAGGUUGUUGAGGGACAGAUGGAUUUAAAGUGGGGGCAACUGUCCCCACUCAAAUUCUGCAUAUAAAAUAUUAGUAUGAAAGUUGAAAAAUGUUGAGGGGAAUCCUUUCUUGCCUCUAUUCUAUUGGAGAAAUGUAGAUAAGUCAACCAUAAAUUGCAUGAAUUAUGAAGUGUGUAAGUCAACCAUACAUGUCAAAUUUCUUUGAAGAAAGAAAAGAAGUUAGGUUAAUCAAAAUUUAAAACCAUUUGAGGAUCAGGAAUUUGGAAAGCAGAAUUUGGUUGUGCAGGGUUUUGAAAUUCCAAAAUUCCAAUUACACCAUUUGUGUAAAUAUUGAGGGAUAUAAACGAGUUAAUCUAACAAUCUAAAAUCAGGGACUGAAAAUAAUGGCUAAACAGAUUUUUUUUUUUUACAAUUUCUUCUGUUUGUUGAAAGCACACUCUCUAAAGUCUGAACUAGAUAACUUUUCUCACUCAACCAUUCUGCUAUUAAUUCUUGUGAUGGUGAAAAGCAUCAGCUUUUACUAGGUCAUGCCACAUCCCCACCCCCCUUCCUCUCUCCAAUUCUUCCUUUCUUUUUCUUGUUCUUUUGUUCUUGUUCCUCUCUGAUUGUUAUUUUUCUUUUAACAUGAGAUAAAAAUUUUGAUUUACUAAUAGAAAUGGCAAAUGAAUUUUUUUAAUCUCAAGAAACAUAAAAAUUUUACUCUCAACCAAAUAAAAUUAUUAUUGUUACUUACAUUCAAAUGUGUAACUUCCAAUUACAGAUUAAAGCAAAAAUGAUAAAAUGAAGUGAAAUAAAUGAAAGAAGAUAUGAAAAUUGGAAGAUGUGAAAUUUUGUUGAAACUUUUUGGUUUCUUACAGAAGAAUCAAUAUGGAUGGUAAAAAAAAAAAAAAGGUGGAAAUCCCUUCUUAUUUAUGGAGGAAUAAAGAUAAAAUUAUUUGAUUUUCAUUUAAAAAUCAAAUUUGUAUCUUUAUCACUGGACUCCAUUUGAAUUUCCAUACUUUCUAUUAGAUAUCCCUUUUUAUCAGAUAUAAUCAUUUGAACUUUAUUUAUUUAUUUUUUGAGAUAAUGACCAGAGAAAAUUAUUUUAAAUUACUUUUUUAAUUUUUUAAGCCAAAUUUUGAAAUGGCUCAAAAUGUUAUGUUUGGACUUGAUUUACCAUAUUUAAAUAGUCCAAACCCAUACUCACUUAAUUGGUCUUAACACCAAAAUUACAUUUGUCAUAAGCAUUUAUAUAAUUACCCAUAAAUAAAUUUUGUUGUGAAAAUGAUGUUAACUUUCUCACUGUCUUCUUGGAUGUUUCCCGCCUCUGAGUUGCUGUUGCUGACAAAGAACUAAUUAAGGUGGUUUUUCAUGUUUUUCUUUUAUCCUUUUAUUAUCCAGUCUUCCCUGCCACUUCAGAUCUAGCCAACUCCUGAUUCCUAGAGGCUAGAAAAAUAGCUGUUAGAUCUCAUAGCACGUCUUUGAGGAGGGAUGUGAUAUGAAAUGAAGGAUUUCAGCUUAGCAAUGUACUUAGAAAUUGAAGAGGAAUCCUAUCAAAAAAAAAAAGAAAACCCCAAAGAAAUAAAGAAAUAAAUAAUUGAAGAGGUAUACUGGUACACACAAUAGUAUUGCAGGUAGUGAUCUUGUAAUGUUUUUAUGUGUAAGUUGGGGUUUUCUUUGCUUGGAAGAUUGGCUUAACUUUCUAAUGGUGUGUAGGCUCUUUCUAGUGAGUGGUUUCUGAUUUUUACUUAGGUGAAUUUCACAGACAAAUUUCCUCUUUCAAGGACAAUGUCCAAUGUCCCACGUAUCUAGAAAUUUAUUUUGGACACUUGACACUACACAGGAAAUUUUUAAAUUUUUAAAAUUUUAAAUUACUUCAUUUUGUAAUUCUAGAAUUUCAAUUGCAUCAUUUUCAGAUGAUGUGUUGUUAAACUUCAUAGUCUUGUAAUACCCUAUAGAAGCCUAUAUUUUCAAUUAUUAUAUGAAGAAGAAAACCUUCUUACUGGCAAUAUUACAGUGUUUGGAAUGUUUUGUGAUCAAACUGGUCAAAGGUAUUUUCUUAUUUUUAUGAAAUUUAAUAUUAUUUAAUAAAUCCGAUCAGAUUGACCGCAUUGAACAAAAAGCUUCCGUUUGCCCCUGUCAAGGGAUAUCCGUAUAGUUUUGAAAUGCAAGGGAAAAAUAUCGUAUUUGAUUUGAUCUCGAAGUCGAGGGGAACCUUAUUUUCUAACCAAAAAUUAUUUACCCUCUGCUUUUUCACUUUAGGGAGCUUCCCUUGAGAUAAGACAUGUUCAAGCUGCACUUUUGGUAUCGCUUAUUACAGUUUUAAGGGUUGUGUAAAAGAGAGACAGAUUGUUGUCAAUAUCCAAAGUGAACCUAAUUGAAUGCACUUCUACUAGUUUCUGUCCAAUGAUCCAUUCCAAUAAUUUGAAAAGAGAAUGCUUCCCUGCUUGGUUGAUGACUCAUCUGGUUCUGAAUCCUAUCUUCCUCUUUAAAAGGAAUUCUGAAGACCAGGUGGGUUUUGAAAUUUAACUUUUAAAACAAUUAAAAAAACCUUUUUUUUAUCCCGUAAAAAUCUUCUUAAAAUUUUGUGAUUGUUGGAUUGCAAGCUUUCAUCUGUUGGAUUCAGAGCACCUUAAUGGGUAUGAUGUUGCUUACUUUUAAGUUUUAAAUAUUAUUAUCAUAAAUAACUAUAUUUUUUUGGCCAAAAAAAUAAAUAUCUAUAUUUUUAGCAAUUUUACUUAUUCAUUAUGAAUUAAAAAAUGACAAAUUAAGUUGAGCUCAUUUUCAUGAAACUCUAAAUGCUAUGUAAUUGGUAAUCAGUACCAUACAACCAUGAUUUAUCAAGUAGUACUCAAAUGAUUUGGCAGCCUACCACAAUUAGCACUUGGAAGCUGAUUAAUCCUGGUGAUAGUGAUGUAUUUUCUAGCGCUAACUUUACAGAUUUUGUAUUGCAUACUUCAUUUUCUAUUACUAACUUUACAAAUUUUGUAUUGUAUUGAUGCAUUUUCUAGUGCUAACUUUGCAGAUUUUGUAUUGCAUACUUCAUUUUCUAUUACUAACUUUACAAAUUUUGUAUUGUAUUGAUGCAUUUUCUAGUGCUAACUUUACAGAUUUUGUAUUGCAUUGAUGCAUUUUCUAGUGCUAACUUUUCAGAUUUUGUAUUGCAUACUUCAUUUUCUAUCGCUAACUUUACAGAUUUUGUAUUGCAUACUUCUACACGGUAAUUUACUGCCUGAAAAUGAUUCUUGUAGGGAAUGGCAUGUCGGCCAAACACCCAUCGACCUAGCUUCCAUGUAAACAUGGUUGGAUUGGAGAAGACACAAAGAUCGAACUCAAGCAGAUUUCCUUGGGAUUUGGAUGCUGAAAUGAUUGAUGAAGAUGAAGAAGAAUUCGAGUUAUGGCUUCAGCAGGCCUUGGCCUCUGGCCUCUUUUGUGAAACCUCUAAACGCAGAAAGAGCUGGAGUCCAUUUAAAUUGCCUCAGAAGAAAAGUAAAAAGCAAUGGAGAAGAUCUUCCACCUGAAUUCUUGAUGAAAGGCAUCUGUGAAGAGUUUCUGCUUUCCAACCAAAGAGAAGAAUGAUCAUUCUUCAACAAAGGGGGAGACAGCGUAUGAGGGGGGAAGCAAAAGAAAAUGAAGAGGAAAGGCAAGGAGGGGAAAGCUUUAAAAAAAAAAUGAAAAAGAAAAGAUGGGGUUCUGGUACGGGAUAUUGUCACCGAAGAGCAGAGAUGCAUACAUCUCAUCAAAUUUUUUUCAAGAUGAAAGCAAGGAAAAGAAAGUGAGGAGAUACAUGGAUGACUUUGUCUUUUCUGGCAAUAGAUCGAGGCUGCUUCUGGUACAAAUCAGUUUCUCUUAAAGCUCCUUUUCCGGGCAUUUUUCAUUUCGAAAUCAGGGAUCAAAAUUGAUCUCAUUGUAUAUUUGUCCCAAUGUCGGAAACAUUCUACUGCUAUGUAGUUGUAAUGAAAUUAAUCUCUUCUUUUCGGUUCCCUGUUUCUUCUCACUCUUUUUUUUGUGGUCUAGUAAAUUUCUGGUGUAGUGCAGCAGUUACUAUUCACUCAACCCAGGAUGGUAUGAUCCUUGAACCAGCAAAAAGAAAAGAGUUAAAAUAGUGAAGUAUCCAGUUUAUGAUGAACUAGGUACUCUUAUUUGGAAUAUAUAAAUGCAGUUGAAGUUUGGUUCAGAGGGGAUUUAUCACUAGUCAAACUUUGCAGUUUGCAGUAUACCCUGGAAAUACCAUAAUGUGCUUUUAUUACGAAUAAAUGAGAUUGUUUAGGGGAUGAUUGAAAGCUAAAAACUUCCACAAGUUAUAUCUGAAACAUGGGAAUGGUACAAGAUGAGCCUGGCCACUUUGAAUUUCUUAGUAGGUUCAAUAUGUGCAACCAUGAAUCAGAGAAGUUGAACUAGGUCCAAAAUCCUAAACGCUAAAAUCUCAUAUAGGGCUGAAGAUGCAACCUUCCUCUUGUGCAUGUCUGUCAAUGGAGUCCAAUAGAAAUUGGCCUUCUUUAACUCAACUUAAACCCGAGUUAAUACUAACCAACAUUUUCCUCAUGAAGAUGUCUAUGAAUGUUUUAAUGGGGUUGGAAUCAAAUGAUCCUACCUAUGUUCCAACACCAAGAAAAAGGGAGGGUGGGGGGAUGGUAGGGGCUGCUCAAGUCCCAGCCCCCAGGUGGCAUUAUCCUUGAUAAAAGAAAAAAGAGAAGGAACAAAUUUGUUUUUGAAUAUUCCAGGUGGCAUCUCAACUAGCUAAUCAAGUUACUUUUUAAGCAGCCAAAAAUGAAGGAACAUUACAGCUGAGCUGGGCUUUAACUUUGUUAUUAUUCCAUGAUAAGGAGGUUGUGCUUAUUUUUCUUCCUUGUUUAUUCUGAAAAUGCUCUCUUCUGCUGCUGCUGCGACUGAAAAUAACUAUAAUUAACCAAGUUGGGGGCAUCCAGUUCUAUAUAAAAUCCUUGUACUUGUGCUAAUUCAACGCCCUCAGACAUCUUCCUCUUUCUCAUUUUGACAUUUCAUCCAAUUCCCAUUUUUGGUGGGCCACCACUCACCAGACACAUACAACAGAAGCCACAGCCACAGGCAUAUUUUAUAGUUGAAUUUUUUAAACUUGAUAAAUUAUUUUUAAUUAUAAAAAUGUUGCUGAUUGGUUCCAUGUAUUUGCACCACUGCUUCUUCCCCUCUAAUUAUUUACAAUUUAUGGGAUCUAAGUUAAUGAUUAGGAGUCUCUGACUAGGAUGCUUAAAAUUUUGGAAGUUAAUUGCAUGUGACACUAUGACAAUGUGGUGAGCCACUAGAAAAGACCUUGAUAUAUAGCUAAAUAAACAUUGAAUAUAAAAAAAAUAUGCUAGGGUAUUGUUAUUUGAUUUAAUGUUAGGCUUACAUAAAGUAUGGGAUUAUAUAGUCUUAGGAAUGGAUAGAUACAUUGUACCUAUUAAAGAGAGAUGAAGGUUGGGUGUCGGCCCUUUAUUGUUAUUUUUGUCCUUGCUUGCAACAAACCAUCCCUUAAUAAAUGAAUGUUGAGACGUUUGUGGUUUCUACAAGCUAUUUAUGGGUGAAUGAAUGAAUGGUAUAGCCAAGUGGGAACAAUAGACUUUCUUGUGCUUUGGACUGGAUCAAAGUUCAAUGCCCAUUUUGCUAUCCUUAUCUAGUUUUCAUUUUACAUAUUUAAUUAAUUUUAAAAUAAAUCAUAAAAAUAAUUUUUCUCGUUUUAUAAAUCAUAUCUUUAUCGAAUCAUGUAUUUUAAAAUUACGCGUAUAAGAAUAAUAGAAUUAAACCUAGCUUCGGGAUUUUAUAGUAAUGGAAUUCUCAAGAUUUCGCUUUAAAAGUCAUAUUCUAAAAAUGAAGGUACAAAAAUGGUUCAGGUGUAAAUGUCGUUAUAGGCAAGAUAUGUAGGUAAUUUUGUGUAGAAUGUUAUGAAAUCCGAUAUGUUGGUGAUGGAGACAGCCAGUCCAAUUGGGUCACAUGGCUCAGUCUUUAAACAAAGGGGAACACCAAUGACUCUCACUCUCACCAUCAUUCAUCUUUGAUAUUUUCUCCAACAGCUUUCUUCUACCUUUUGAAGCCAGAAUAUCCCAUUCAUGUCUUCAUCAUAACAGAUUCCCCAUGUUGCCAAUAUCCCUUUUUGCAAAUAACUUUGUUGUCAAAUAAGUUCCUUCAACCCUGCAAUUUUCUUACUCAUAGCAUUCGAGCAUUUAACUCAUUAAUUAAUGUGUAAUCUUUUUAUCUAAAGAGCAGAGUUCAAAUCCUCACUCCUUCAAUUAUAAAAAAAAAAAAUCUUACAACUUUCUUACUGCAUCCGAAUAUUUGACUCAUUGAUUGAUGUAUGAUUUCAAAUUUAAAUAAUAAACUUUAAAUCUCUUUCUCCUAAAUUCUAAAAAAAAAAAAAAUACCCUGCAACUUUCUUACUCAUAUCGUGCCAAUGAAUUUACAUUAUGGUCCAUAAUACCAAUGGAAGCUGUUAGGUUUGAGUGGAGAUCACAACCCUUUUGUUGAUGCAAAUAAUCAAAUUUUGAUGAGCAUAAAAUGAAAAAUUUAGGUCUACCCAGCAUAAUAAAAUGAAAGGGCCCAGAAAUUGGUUGCUUGCAAAACGGUGGGCCUCACUCCUUAAUAUGGACCCACUCAUAUGCAGAAGCAACAGCAGAACAUUACACAUUUCAAAGCCAACAUCCCAUUUUCUAUGGACAUACGCUAACAAUUUGCCAUUUCUUAACUUAUAAUCCUAUCAUAUUAGUACUAAACAUAAGCAGGCUGGAGGCACAUGCACUUGCCAUCUGGCCCUACCAUGACCAUCUCUCUAUGAACAAUGAAGAAGAACCUUAAUCUAGGCUUAUUUCUUGACAACUAUUAUCACUAUUUUGACUAGAUCAUCAGUUAUCACCAUUUUGGUUGUGGUGAGAUGAGUCAAUCAUGUUUCUCGAGAGUUUUCUGUAUAUGGGAUUCUACAUUUGAUUGUGUAUUCUGUGUUGUGGUGUCUGAUUCCAUUGCGAUUGAAUUGGUUUGUUUCUGCUUUUAUUUAACACGUUAAGAAAAAAGAAGGAUUUUAUUCUCUUUCUUAUACUAUCUUGAUAAGGUAUCGUUUUAUAUAAUAGUUUCGUAAUUUUUUUUAAAUAAAUAAAAAUUCUAAUUUAUCUUAAAAAAAAAUCAAGAAUGUAACAUGUCAUAAAAGAGCAAUUUUAUUUAUUGACGUAUGUAAAGAUUUGAAUGUCGACAAUUGAUUCGAGUGAUAUAUUAUUCGGCUCUUUUUACGUGAUCAAAGGUGUUAAAAGUUAUACAAAAUGCAUUGCGAUUGAGUGGGCAUAGGAGGAGUUGUGAUAGAAUUAGUCAGGAUAUAACAUGUUGGUGAAAUUAGAAGGGUCAUAUGGCAUUGGUGGAGGACAUCAACUUGGCUGAUUAUUACACAAGUACAUAUGAUAAAGAUCACCUGAUGAUCCAAGUUGGGCAUAUUGCACGACCUGUCCACAUUAAUUUUUUUUUAUGGUUAUGAAAUUUGAUUCAAUUUUGAUUAUGAAAUGCAACUUCUUCCCUUCUUUAAUUUAUUCUCUAAUUGAAAGUUCCAAAAUUAAACCAUUGAAGUUUCCUGUUUAAGAAAAAGAGGGUUAAUUAUAACAUGGUCAUUGAGCAAUUCCAACAUGCAUUAAUUAAUAUAUAUGCACCAUUAGUAUUAACCUUUUUACUCUCAUUGGGGAAAUGUUGUUAGGGUUGGCACAUCUUGGACAGCUCAUCUAUUCAUUAUUUUUCUUUUAUUAUUGUCAUUGAUCCUCACAAUAUUACACUAUUAUUAUUAUUAUCAUAGAUAAAUUUUUUGAGAUGUUUUAUUUUGAUAAUUUAAUUUUAAAAAAUUAACAUUUUAUUCACUAAUCUUUAUAAGUGCUACUCUUUUAAUUACUUAAUCAUUAAAAAAUAACGAUUUUUCAGGUGACAUUUCAUAUCAGUAUUCACAUUAAUUACUUUUUGUUACAUGAACUUACCCAUUUGAUAAUUAAAAAUAAAAAUUAUUAAAUUUUUUUUGGAAUUAAAAAAAGUUUAAAUAUUAAAUUCUAUUAUUAUGUGGACAUGAUUAGUGUGGAUGGUUAUAUGAAAUGUCACUUGGAAAUUAAUCUAUUAUCUUUUAACGAUUGAGUAAUUAAAAAUAAUAGCAUAUAGACUUAUAAUCAGUCAUUCUCAUAAAUAUGAAAAAUUGGUAGUAAGUUUAUUAAAUGGGAAGGAUAAUGAAAAUAGGGAUAUCUGAACCUAGUGUUUUCUGUUCUUGCUGUCAUGAGCUGCUUCAGCUUAUUCUUAGUUUAGUUGUGGUGUUGUUGUUGUUGGAGGUGAAGUUGUAUUCUUUUUGUAUAUUAAAUUCAUUCUCUUCUUGGAGAAGAAAAAGGAAGAAUAAUCUUGAGAUACAUAGUUUAUGCCAUUAAUAUAAAAUCAGGCUUCAUGGUUUCAUGUAAGUGAAAACCUUGCACAAUAACUAUCAUAUAGAAGUAGAAGUAGAAGCAAUUUAAAAAAAAAAAAAACUAUCAUAUAGAAGAUUUUGUAGUCCAAGAAACAAUACGGACAGCAAUUAAAGCAAUGGGUAUUAUGAGCACUUGAGCAAUGAAUUUAAUGAUGGGUGUGUACCUCCUUUAUUUGUGUUCCAAUCUUUCCUUUCCCUUCUCAAAAAAUAAAAAUAUAUAAACAAUAUUUAUUUUUUGAAUAUACAUGAUUUUUGGAUUGUAUGACCGACAGUAAAUUCUCUUAUAUUUUAUUAUAAUCUUACAUUUUUUCACAAGAACAUACAAAUUUGAUAUUUUAACAAUUAAGAUAUCUUUUUGAAGCAAAUAAGCAUUCUAAUAAGUAUAUAAUUAUCUUAUUAUUAUUUUUUUUUUUUAUAUUUGAGGAGAGAAAUUCAAACCUUACUCUUUUUAAGAGAGAUCAUGUAUUAAUAAAUGAAUUGAAAUAUUAUUUUUCUUUUUGAAUUGGAAUAAUAUAAUUUAAGCAUAAAUUUCUUUUUUAAGUGAUAAAUUGUGACGUCACUAAAAAAAACUCCCGAAAGCUCUCGUUCUCUUUUUCUCUUUUUUAUGAUUUCAUAACACCUUUUUAAUUUGGAAACUGUUCUAUCCCUCAAAUCUUAAGUAAAUAUAUUUUAAUUGACAAAUACAUAAGUAAAUAUAAUUGGAAGUUGGAAGUAAAGAGAGCCAAUUGAAUAGACAAGUGCAAGAAAUAGAUACGCCUUUGGGAGCAGGAGGAAAAGGACAUGCUCAUAAUUUCUUUGCCUGCAUUAUUAGUAUGGACUUGGCUACUUAGGAAGUUGAGAUGAUGAUAAUUAUUGAUGAAUUAUUAUUAUUAUUAUUAAAGAUUAGAGAUUUUUUUUGGGGGUUCAAAUUAAUAGUUUAUUCAAUAUAUUCAUAAAUGAAUGAAUUAUUCAUUUUGAAUGAGUUUAGGGUGGCGGCAUGGUGGGGCCCACUGGUUGAUCACGGGGCAGACAGCAUCCUGAGGCCUCUUUUUUACGUGGGUCCCAACCCUAGCGAGAUGCGGUAAUGUUGGCGCCUCCACAUGCCCUCCACCGUCGCUCUUCAUCAUUUCUAAAUUGCUUUUCAUUUUUUAUUCUCUCCUGUCUUAACAUAACGUUUUUCUUUUUCUUUUUCUUUUUUUUUGAAAAUUUACCAAAACUAAGGUAAAAAGUUUUUAUUAUGUUGUAUUUAAUAUUAAAAUUUGAAAAAAAAUUUAUACAAUAGAUUUUCAAUGUUUUUAUGUAAAGAAGUAAAAAAAAAAGAAAAAUAUAUAUUAGAUGUUAGUUUCUAAGUUUCUUUGUCAAUAUUAUUAAUGGUAAAAAAAAAGGUAUUUGUAUGUAAAUAGGUGUUUGGCCCAAUAUAUGCAAGAGUUAUUAUUCUACUCUAAAACCGAGAGUAAGGCAUUGGACUCUUAUAAUUUUAAACUUAAGAAGCUCACCUGGGUUUUUAGAGGAAACUACAAAUACAAUUUUUAUUUUGUCCUUCAAUAAUCCCUAAAAUUUUUGUUAGACACAUUUAUCUUUGUAAUUUGGUUCAAAUAGUCAAUCUUUGUUUAAUUGUUUUAUUAUUUUUAAUUAAUACAAAAUUAUACUAUUUAUUUCAUUUUGAAUUUCAUGAUUUAAUUUAAUAAAGUUGAGUCUUUUUAUUUUUUAUUUAUUAAAUUACCAUAUUUUCAAAUAUUUUUUUUAUAUAUUUUACAUCACUUCUGUAUUAAGUUUGUCAACUGCUAUUUUAAUUUUUUUAUAACACUUUUAGAACAACUCUACUCACUCAACACUUCCUACAGGAAUGAUUUUAGUUAUGUACUAGAUUGUAUGCUAUUUUAUCAAAUGUUAUAUAUGUAUAUAUAUAUAUAUAGUUUAAUGUAUAUGGAUAUAUCAAGUGUUACAAAUCGACAUUGAACAAAAUAAAUAAAGUUUAUUCUACACUAAAAUCAAAAUAUUUAUGUAAUGUGUGAAGAAGUAUACUUGAAUUCAAUACAUAUACAUAGAUAGAGUUAAUGUAGAAAACGGAUAAGCUAUGAAAGAGUUGCAUGUGGCCAUUAAUUGUCAUGGAAAGUAAAUCCGUCCUUUAAAGGCUUUAGCUGGAGGUAGCUGCCUUGGUUUACAAGCUACAACAACAUCAAUUCCUUGUAUAUGUUUCCUCUCUCACAUUGCCAAGAUACAAUGAAUGUUGGGAAAGCAAAAAUCAAACGAAAACCCCAUUUUUAUUUACAUUUUUUGACACAUAAUCCAACUAUUUAUAAUAAUAUUUUCUUUCACUUUGUUAUGCUUAUUGCAAAGCUGAUGUCCAUAUAUCAAAAUCGACCUUCAAUGUAAUUUUCAUAGUCCGUAAGUAUAAUGAAUUUGCCGACUUUGUGCUAGUUGUUAUACCAUUGAUUCCGACAUAGAGUUAUUAAUUACUAAUAUGAAAAGAAACUUAAAUGUAGAGUCAAAUUGUAGGUGGUAGCUAUGCCGCACCGCCGCACACUGAAUUCUUAAUUUCUCAUCCAUUUUUAACUACCAUAAUCGAACUUCUUGUCUUGGGAUUAAUGUAAACUGCUUGAUACACAGCUUUGUCUGCACACAACAGUGGAUAAUAAAAAGGCCAUGAGCUGCGCAUACAGGCGGCCGACUAGCCGUUGCCUCUCUCAUUUAUUUUGGACGCUAACUCUCGCAGCUAAUGAGCUCCUAGUUCUAGAGGUUAAACAAAUGAAGGGGUUGCUUCCUUUUUGGAGCUCACUCAACUGCCCCUCUCUCUCAUAUUCUAUUCAUUUAUUCCUUGCAUUCCUCCAUCUCCCAUGCAAUUCUUUUCUUUUAUUACGUAGAAAAACCCUAAACCCAAUACCUUCCUUUGUCUCCUCUCUCUUUCUUUCUGUUUAUACAAAUUUUUUAGAGUAUAGUUGGGUCAACCAAACGGCUUCUAAUCAAUUCCUUUGUACCCCACAGGUUCUCUCUCAGUUUCCUUUUUCGCUUUUAUAUAUAGGGAAUCAGACCCGAAAACUCUUUUAACUCUCGACUCUAAACGAAUUAGUUAUGGACGAAGAAACCUAUUUCCCAGACACCGAUCUGGACUUCAGCUUCACCUCCACCACCACCGACAGGACCGUCCCUUCCUCUAGUGCUCGUUCCAGUUUAGCGCGCUCUAGCCUUACCCUCAGCUUCAACGAAUCCCGCCUUUCCUGUUCCACUACCACCACCACCACCAGUAAUAUCACCACCCUCCACCACCGCAAAUGGGAUGCACGAUGGUCAGCCAUCAAGGCAGCCACCAACCUCUCCUCCGACGGGAACCUCCACCUUCGUCACCUCAAGCUCAUUCGCCAUUUGGGAACCGGGAACCUUGGAAGAGUCUUCCUCUGUCAGCUUAGGGACUGCAACAGCGCCACCUUCGCUCUAAAAGUAAUCGACAGGGAUACAUUAAGCAACAAGAAACUCUCCCACGUUCAAAUGGAAGCAGAAAUCUUAUCCAUGCUGGACCAUCCUUUUCUUCCAACGCUUUACGCCCACAUCCAAGCUUCUCAUUACACCUGUCUCCUCAUUGACUUUUGCCCUAACGGGGACCUCCAUUCUCUUCUACGUAAACAACCAGGAAAUCGCUUCCCUUUAACGGCGGUCCGGUUUUUUGCGGCGGAAGUGUUAGUUGCCUUAGAGUAUUUACAUGCUUUAGGGAUAGUUUACAGGGAUCUUAAGCCUGAAAACAUUUUGUUACGUGAAGAUGGGCAUAUUAUGUUGUCGGAUUUCGAUUUGUGUUUCAAGGCUGAUGUGGUCCCCACCUUUAAAUUCCAGAGCCGCAAAAGUCGAAAGUCAAGGCAGAACUGUUUCACCGGCGGUUGUUUUGGUUCCGUCGCCGAUUCAGGAGAAGAAGAAGAAGUUGAUCCAGAGUUCGUAGCUGAACCGGUAACGGCGUUUUCCCGGUCAUGCGUCGGGACCCACGAGUAUUUAGCACCGGAGCUCGUUUCCGGAAACGGCCACGGUAACGGCGUUGACUGGUGGGCGUUUGGGGUGUUCGUUUACGAGUUAUUAUACGGAACGACACCGUUCAAGGGAGGCAGUAAGGACAGCACACUUCGUAACAUAGCUUCUAGCAGGCAAGUAAGAUUCCUCCACGUGACGGAGAUAGAAGAGGCGGGAACUGCGGAGGCAAACGAUUUGAUCGGGAAAUUGUUGGUAAAAGACCCGAGGAGGAGGCUAGGGUGCACCAGGGGUGCGCAGGAUAUAAAACGACACCCGUUCUUUGAUGGGAUCAAAUGGCCCUUGAUCAGGCACUACAAGCCGCCGGAGGUGGUGGGUGGGGUGGCGAGGAAGAGGGGGCAUGUGGGCCAUGUGAAGAGGAGGCGUUGGCUUUGGAAAGGACUUGAUUAUUUGAUGACGAAAAAUAGGAAUAAUAAAAAUAGUAAUGGCAAUUACUAUGAUUAUGUUCAUAAUAGUAACAAUAAUAAACCUAGGAAGCAUGCUUAGUGUUGUUUUGUCAAACCUUUUUGUUAGGAGUAUAUUGUCAAAUUAAAGAGGAGAGAGAUGAUGAGGUUUUGAUAUUAGUAGUUUUAUGGAGUUUGUCAUUUAGUUUUCAUACACAUGAUUUGCUGUACAUGAAUCCAAUUAGUAUAAAUCAAAAGAUUCACAACUUUUCCCUUUCUUUUCUUUUUCUUUUUAAUAAAAGUUUUUAAUAUAAUAAUCAAUCAACCCAUUUACGAUUAGCAAGCAAAAGAGUCAAGGCAGAUGAUUAGCAUCAUCCAGGAAGAUACACACACUUGUUUUUGUUUUUGUUGUUUUUCUUUUUACCUGUUGCCUGUGCAACAAAAGGAGUACAUCCUACUACUGUACAUGGAAAGAUAUAAAGAAGAGUCUUGAGCUGUUAGAUUGCAGUCCUCCCAACUGUUCCAAUAUUCCACCCUCUCUCCUUUUCUUUGUGGUUUUGUUUGUGCUGAAUUUCCUUGGUUCCUGCUCCUCUUCUACCAUUGCCUAGCAGUACUCUACUGGCCAUCCUCCCUCGACUUCCGAUUGAAACUCUAACCCUGUCCAUCCCCACGUUAACACCUCUUCUCAGAUGUUGCUGCAUUGGGGACUUUAGCUGAACUUUCUUCUGAAGGCUUCGUCUCAAAAUGCUGCUCAGCUUCUUACUCGCGCUUUUCAUUCCUUUGGGACUGUUGCAUACCGUUUGUUCAGGAAUAAACUCAUCUUCCUCUUCCUUUAUAUCUGGUUGGGGUGGCAAUGGUAGAAAUGGUGGUGCCAGCUGCGCUAAGCUAGGUGCACUUGGCAGUGGUAUUAAAGAGUUGCGCCUUGGAGCUGAGGAUACUGACAUUCGUCUUGCGGUUGGGCAGAUUGAGGCUCUUCCUGUCUUCUUUGGUAGUAGUCGCAGUUGUUCAGCCGCCUCAGGAUUGUUUUCUUUUUCUGCUGCAUCAAUGUGCUGGAUGCAGCCAUCUGUUAAAGAAAGAGGUAAAGGCCUGAAGCUAUUUUCCAUAAGCGGACGAGUGAGAUUUACUUGCUCUUUCAUCAAUGCUCCAUUUGAAACUUCAUUCAAAUUCUUGUUAGCUCCCAAGAGUCGAAGUGCCAGUGGUGGCCUCAUUGCUGAAUUACUGAGCUCCUCAUUCUGCUGUUUAAUUUGUUGCUGUUGCUGCUGCUGCUCAGCUAUCUUUGUAUCGACAUGCUGACGUGCUAGCUUCCUCUCAAUGAGUAGCUGCGACUCCAGUUCUUUCACCUGGAGAAAUGAAACCUGUUAGGACUAUAAUGUCAAGUAAAAGGGAAUUUGGAAUUACAAAUCAAUUGCAGACUUGCAGCUCCACGAGCAAAAAGAUAUUGAAUAAUUUCAAGAUUGUUCGAUAAGUUUACACUAUGCAAUACCUUGUCUUGCAGGUUCUUGUUUUUUAGGUCUUUAUCCUUCAUCUUCAAGUCUAAACAAUGAAUUGUUUCCUCCAUCUUCCUGAUUUGCAAAUCUUUGAUCUUCAUUUCUUGCUUUGAUUUCUCAACCUUUUAGGUCCAGAAGAGAAUUGUCAUUGGUAACAUCAAAAUGAUAAAUUAGGCUUAAGAAAUGUUGCCAAUAAGUUGCUGGUUGUACCAUCUGUUUGCAUCUCAGAAGUUCUGAGCAGUCCAUUUGCUUCUUUGCCGGACCCAACUCUAUCCCUCUCACUCUACUUGCAAAGUUCAGAGAGCAUAGAGUCUCACCAAGGUCAUUCUCCUGAGGACUGAUUUGUACAAACAUGAGUGUCUUUGAAUCUCCUCCUAACAAACAUAAACCUAAUUAUCAGGCUUUUUACUUCUAUCUCUGUGGAAAUCCAAUGAAAGAAAUAGCAGAAGUUUAACCAUGAAAGUAAAAAAUAAAGGAAAUUUAAACUUGACUUGUUUUUAUCAUUUAUGUCAGAGUAAUUUCCUUGUUAGGGGGUAUAAAGAUAAAAAUGUACCGAGAGAGUCUUGAAGCAAGUGUGUCAGCUUUGAAUUCCUGCAUGAUUAAAGUACAGUUAAGUUUAAAACCUAUGAAACACUACUGAUUUCUACGCUCUUAAUUAUUUAGAAGUACUCAUCUCUGUAUUUUUAUGACCUGAAAGGAAUGUGAGGGCUUUUUGUAGCAAGAGCAGAUAUGACAUCACCGAGUGCAGACAAAGAUCUGUUAAUAUUUUGAGUUUCCUUAAGUCUUUCUCCAUGCACUUCUGUUUUUGCUACUCGUUCACUUCCAGCUAGGUCCACCAACCAUAGCUUGCUUUUUGUGCAUUCCCCAUUCAACAAAUUCUCUCCCUGAACCAUCACACAAUGUAUGCUGCAUAAAGAGUGACCCAUAAGCUGGCAUUUAGCUGUGUUUAAACACACUUUGUGCAACGAGUACUGAAUUUAAAAUCAACUUUGACAGACAGACCAGUGGGAUCUACUGCUAUGCUCGUUGGCAUUGGUUGAGCCAACAGCCCUUGCAUUACUGCCAGUCUGUAGGACUUCCCAGACCUCGUUCAUGUUGUUUACAUGCGCUUCAACGAGCCCUGGGACAUCAUGCAUUCCUUCACCCACUUGCCUUAUUUCAAGCCUACAAGUAGCCACAUUGAUAUGAAAAGUGUUAGCUAUUUGAAAUUUCAUAAGAAUAGAUAAUCGUUUAUCAAUGCUGAAGUCUCAGUCAACAAAAGUUGCAAAGUUUAGAUCACCAAUAUUACAGAAUGAAUUUUGCUAGGGACAAGCACAAAAUUUUAUAGUUUAUGAUUGAGUGUUCAUGGAAAAUUCCUCCUCUAACACCUGAAAUAAAUCCAAAAAGAAAACUCUGUUCCAGAAACAUUUUCGCAUGAGGAUAAUAAAAAGUACUGAUACUAUUUGACACAGUUAAUCGCUCAUCAGGAUGAAAUAAGCAACAAAAUGAUGUAUGAAACUCAUGUAGCAAAAGUUGGCAUAACCAUUCUGGAAAAGUAAAAAAUGUCGAAGAAAAAGGCUAAAACAAAAUUACUCCACCUUUUUGGCCCCGUGCCUUGCUGAGAGCCUGAAACCAGUAAAUCUCUUAUCUGUUCAUUGUAUACUUCUAAGACACUGACUGAUAUCUCAUAUCGAUAUAACUUCUGCCGCUCAUUAAUUAUGCGAAACAAUUCCUCAAGAGUCCUAAAAUUUACUCCACGGGCUUCUUUUGUACCCUCCAUUGUAAAAGUUUUUCCUGUCCCCGUCUGUCCAUAAGCAAAAAUGCAGACAUUGUAGCCAUCUAGAACUGAGGUAGCAAAUGGAGCUGUGUCUUGGAAAACAUCAGCUAAACAAAACAAGCAACAGAAGUAAAUUAUUAAAAAUAUUCACUGAAAGGAGCAUUAGAAAAAUUUUGCAGUGAGCCCAAAACAGCUACAAGAAAUGGCAUUACCUUGGUCUGCUUGAGGGCCAAAAACAGCAUCAAACUUAAAGGUUUUCUAGGAGCACCUUUUGAUAGUACAGUGAGUUCACCAUCUUUCGCGGAUUCGAAAUCAACAGCCAUUGAAGCUCCUGCUGCUAUUUCUUCAGAAUUUAGAGGCCUACACCGGCAAAAGACUCUUAUGUUUCCUGCAACAAAUGAAAAUUUUGAGUCUCAAAAUUUUGAACCUAUUUUAGAUUUUAAUAUGGAAUAUUGAAUGUGGCUAACCUUUCAAUUCUAGAACCUUGUUGUAGAGUUCUUUCCUUUCUUUUGCCCCUCUGAGAAAUUUAAUCUUGAGAUCUUCAUGCAAAUCUGCCUGCUGGUUUACUUUUGGAAAUAUGGUAAUGGGAUUAUAAAAGAGACUAAAGAAAAUGGAUUCGUGAGGUGAUUAAAAACUAUAAAUUAUGAUUAACUGUGUAGGCUAGAUGCUAACUUACUUCUGGACAGAAUUGAAGAGCCAAUUUCAUUGAUAUCCUUGAAGCAAUUAUUAUACAUGGAUACCUCCUCUGAUAGCUUGAUGUGUUCCAUUUUCAUUAUCUGCAAAUUGGAACCUCUUAAAAUUUUGAAAUUAAAGUUCUAGCUUUGUAUUAAUUAUAGAUGCAUCAUUCUGUUGCAAUUUUAUACCUUCAAUUUUCUGGUCAGGUCCCUCAAUGAUGAGAACCAUCUGCUCUUUUCUUUCACUUGUCCCUCAAUUGCAAAGGCUGUAAAUGGAUAUAACAGCAUUUGUUCCAUAUGCAAGCAAGUGUUAGGCAGUUACAGGUUAACAAAAGGGAAAAAGACAAAAAGAAGUUCAUACCUAAUGAGCCAACAUGCAUUGAUUUGCGCAUAAGCUCAUUUUGAAGCUCCUGUAAAGAUUUGCACGCUUCUUGACACUCUUUACUCUUAAGUUGGUUCUCCCUCUUAAGCCCUUCAAAGGCUCUCCUCAUUUCUGCUAAUUCCUUACUUUGGCGCUCAUUAUCUCUUUGCAGCUGUUCGUAUUUUACUUCCACCCCACAAUCACUCAUAUCCUGCAAGCAAUCAAUUUUAAAUGAUCUCAAAUUUUGUUUACUUCCUAUUUUCAGCUCUCCUUUCAAACCUUGAAAAAGUUAUAGAGAGUUCCAUUACUCUUAGUGACUCAUGAUCUCUCAAUUCAGCAAUUCCCAUGACUUCCUGUGAUUCAGCUUCUUUAAAACCUGUUGCACAAAUUUUUUCAGUAAAAGUUUGAGUUCUUGACUUCAAGCCGAGGGCUACUAUUUUUUCUGAAAAACAAUAAAUAAAUGGUUUGCAGGGAACUAUUUUCUAUCAAGAAUGUUGCAAACACUUCUGGCUUUU
rnacentral:lncRNA from 1 species